GCCGAAUCUGAUUGGCUGUCUCUAUUUCUUUGAUAUCAUCAUCGGCAGAACCUUCUAUCGGCUUCAGCUUCCUCUUCAGCUGCAGCGCUUUGCGACCAUGGACGUUUCGUUCUUGUUCAAGGUGUUUGAUGGUCUCCGGCAGUUGACUUUCUUCUUGCUGGGCUUGGGACAGAGCGUCUUCUACUUGCUUGAGUUCGGCCAGUAGAGCUUCUCUUUUUGCCGAUAGAUCAGACACUUUCUGCUUCAGUGCAUCACCUGAGGACUUUAAGGUGCCGAUGUUCUUAUGUUUCUCAUCGGCUAAGAGUUUUUCUUUCAUCAUCUCCUCAGAAAGCUGGAUUUGAGCGGCUCUAUCGGCAAGGCGUCGAGCAGCUCUCUGGUACUGUAGCUGGCGGCUUUCUAGAUGUGCAGCAUGGAAGAGUGUUUCUUCAGCAUCGGCAGGAAUUUGGCCUCUAAGGGUCUUGAACAGGGCUUUGGCUGGGUCAGAAUCGUUGACCAGUUGAGUUGUGUCUUGAUGAAGUAUGGCCGAUAGCUCUUCCAGCUUAGCUCUGGUUUCUGCCGAUACAGUUCCAACUGCCCGAGAGGAGCUUGCUUCCUCGCCUUCUUCUUCGAAGAUAUCAAUGGCGAAGGAGAACAAGUUGUUGGGAGAAUCUUGUUCCUGAAAAUGAAGAUGAAAUAAGUCAGUUUUAUGGUCAAAACUUCGGCAGACGAUACUGAUGGAAAAGUGGAUGACUUACUUGCUUCAAGGCGAUUUCUUGCCUUUGACUCAGAGAUGCCGAUGGAGCUGCAGGUUGAUCGGCAAAUGUUGCCGAUAGAGCGGUAUCGCCUGAAAGAAGACAGGAAGGAUUAUAAGACUAAAUGAGAAUAAGUUUAUCGGUAGAAGUAUUGUUGAGAUAUGUUACCCGGAGGAGAAACAACAGUUGCCUGAAUCGAGGAAACCGCCGAUGAUAUAACUGGACCUGCCGGGCCAGUUGUUUGUUCACCUACGUCAGCUGAUAUACCUGCCGUUUGAGGUUCUUCCUGCUGGGGUUCUUCCAUCUGUGGUGCUUCCUGUGUUGGUUGUGGAGAUAGUACUUGCUGUGCCUGGACGUCUGGAGAAGAAGGGGAAGAUUCCACCGGGAUUGGAAACACCGGAGGAGGAGGAGGAGUUGCCACUUUCUGGCGCUUUGUUCCAGCCUUAGCACCUUGGAUGCCCUUCCUCUUUGGCUGGCUAGACUGGGGGGCAUCGACGCCUUGGCGUUUGACUUUUGCCGAUGCACCAGUUUGCUGCAACAACAAAAAGGAGUUUAUGAGCACAGAUAGCCGAUACAAAGAUAGUCAGCAUAAAUGAAAAAGGUUUUAACAGAUUGCCUUGAAAGCUUGCGCCAGAGUAGAAGCAGUUACCGUUGGUGAUGUCUGAGUUUUCCUGGUGGUAACUUUCUUGAGGCGCGCACCCCGAUGCACGAUGGAAGCCAGAGUGGGAGCAUUAUGGCCGAUUGAGGAGAUCGGGCCUGAUGGGAAUAAGUCGAUCGGCUUGCCACUCCUGCUAACCGAUGGGGGGGUGUUGUCAAUCUGCAAAAGGAAUACAGGGGUAAGUUACCGAUGGGAAUGAUAUUGGAAAAUGAGACAUCGGUUUAAAAUACUUACAGUGUCAUCAGGGACUUCGUAUUCGGGGUCGAUCAUGCCGCGGUAUGAGAGGGCUGAUCUGCAGAACAGAUUCUCUUUCCAUUCUGCCCACCAUAGCUUGUAUGCCUGAGUAAUAAAGGCGGCUGGAACCCAUUCUGACAGAUCUACAUCUGUAUCGGCAUUUGGUGGUAGCUGGGCUACUCGAGUCCACUCGAGGAGGUUGGCGAUGGGUUCUCUGGGCUUUAUUACAUCGGCAUAAGGAAGUGCAAUCGGCAAUUGGCCGAAAGCUAGCUGGCGAGCUAAUGCCGAUGGAUUAUAAAAUUCAUAGGUUUGGGGAGAGGUUUUCGUGCUGCCGAAGAAAUUCACUGGUAUGGCUCUGGGAGUCACGAUUGCCAUCAUCACCUCAUUGUCCCUGUCAAGAGCUUCAUCAAAUGGAUUGAAGGUCAGAGGGAGCAUGCUGUCUGGGUCGUCAUAAGCCAGCCAUGGUCGUUCAUCUCUGGCCAGACCCUCAUACAGAGUCUCGAAGAAUCGGCCGAUCUGAUCCGGAUUGUUCCCUGAACCGGGUAAGACUAUAACGGCUUCGCCAAAGUUCAAGGGGGCACGCGUUGCCGAUUCCUCUUCACCCAACACAUGAUUCUCGGCUAUAUCUCUUGGGAAGUGCUGUGAGAACAAGUUGAAAUCAAGGCGCUUGUGCAGGUGCAGAUUGAGCCACAUAUUAAUAAACCACCAAGGGCCUCCCAAGUUGCCGAUGGGUUGGCCGAGCAGGAGUUUCUGGACUACUUGAUGAAGAAGGUGGUAAACAGCGCCGAGCAAAUAACGGCCGAGAGGAAAUUGACCGCCGCUAGCCAGUCUUUCUGCUGCCGAUAGAUAGACAGAAGUCGGUCCUGCCGAUCGACCACAGAAUACAAACUUGUCUAGCCACAUGUUCAGAAAGGUGGUUUGCUCCUUUAUGGUGACAGGCCCUCUCCCGCGGUACUUCUGGAUGUACCCUGACCAACCGCCGAUAGCGCGAGUCUCCACUUUGGCACUGGGGGCGGUAUCAAAAAAGUGGGUGCUAUCGGCAGAAGAUAUAUCUAACCCAGUAAGCAUGGCUACAUCGGCAAGGGUAGGAGAAGCAGGGCCGUGGCCAAAAACAAAAGCAUUGAGAGUGUCUGACCAAAAGUAAGAUGCAGCUAUCAGCAAUGACUCGUUCCUGUGCAUAUCGGCAAUGGACAGCCUAAUGCAUUGAGCUAACUUCCUCUCACCCCAUUGAACUUCAUAAGAGUUGCUGACCCUCAAGAACCAAUCUUUCCACCCUACAGUAGGGCUGGGCCAAGAGCGAAAGGUGUCUUUCCAUAGAUCUAAAGCAAAGUUUUCAGCUCUAAAGGGAAUCCUGUUGGUUUCUGCAUUGAUAAGGUCGGUUGGAUCUGGAUCCCCUAGAGGGCCGAGGCAUUGAAGGUGUGGUUGAUCGGUAGGGAUGACAAUUUUGUUGGACAACUCCUAGUGUUUUGGGGAAUAAAGAUACAAAGAAAAAGGAAAAGGAAAAUAUUCGGUAAGAUGAAUCGCAGAUGAACAGGAAUGCAAGAAAAGGGUACAGCAGAUGAGAUGGAAGUCUGACCUCAGGGACGACGAAGCCAACGGCCAUCUUGUCGUGAAGAGGACGCUGGAGGGCGCCGGAGUUGAUGAAGAGGAAUGCUUGUCGGAGAUCUUGAGGGUUGUGAAUGGCGCCGCCGCUGGAAAAGUGAAGUUGGAUGGCAGAAUGGUGUAAUGGGGGAGGAGUACCCAAGAAGGAACUAUUUAUAGGACAAGAUGGGCAAGGGCAAAUCUGACUUAUUUCUUUGCCGCAUCCGAGAAGCCCGAGGGUACUCAAGUGGAUAUGGUAACUGUUCGCACGAUAAUCCAGGGAUUGUGCAGGUGAUUUGACAGGAAGCGGUCAUUAUCUAAAGAUAUUUUACUGUGCGCAAUCUCCUGGUCGGUCCAUCGGUGAUAUUCUAUUACGGUCGUCCUGCCGAUGGGCGGAUAGAGGGGAGGUAACCGUUUUUGCGAAUCUCCUGGGCAGAGCAUCGGCAGAUCUUUGUAACGGUAUUGUUGCCGAUGUACGACUAAGAAAGAUGCCCGUUUAGGAAGUUGGGGAUUUCGAGGGAUCUGCGGAGGAUUAGGAUCAGAGUUGUCCAGAUUGAGGUUGUCGGUUACCAGAUUAGGAGCAUUAAUUGCGGAGAAGACAUCAUUACUGCAGAGAAUUUCGGAGCAUUAAUAGUUUUAUACUCCGAAACUGGGGGGCAUGUGUUGACACCAUUUUUGGGCACGUGUCCAGGAUGGCAGGAUAGGGUGGCAGUACGAUGCGGGUUGCUGAUAAGGAUGGUUGCCGAUGAGGGAAAGGUUGAAUGUGACUAAGUCCUCAGGCAGUAAUAUGGUGCCGAUGACCAGGUAAAAAGGUCUGCCGAUGACUAUGGCAAGGGGAUUGCCGAUGACGCGAAGGAGGAGUCCGGAAGCUGCCAGUUGUCAUGUGGAGGAGUUUCGGUUUGUCACGAGGGAUAGUUUUAUUAUUUCCUUAGUUAUUCGCAUCGUUUUGUAUACGGGUUCCGUGUAAUUUGGAAUUCGAAUUCUAAUCGUGUCUGGUCGUAGCUCUUUGAGCAGGGUAUAAAUAUAAACCCUAGGACCUUGUAAUGAAUAUAUCAAGAAAUCAAUCAAAUACACGUUUUUACUCAUAUUCCAGUAUCUACUUUUCGACGACUUCGUCAUACCUUUUUUUUUCCUUUUAUUACGAGUUCUUAGGAAUUCGUCGACUUAAGCUCGGCGUGUUCUCGAGUUCCGCGUGAGUACCUCUUAGCCGUGACAUCCGGGCGCAUCGCUGUUGUCAGGACUAAAGUAUUCGAGCUAUCACCUUUGCCGAUAGUAAGGUCAAAUCGGCUGGCACGCCUUAACGUUUGAAUCGGGUAUUAGCCCUUUGUGUUUGCAGAUCAGUUUUUGCAUCAACACCAGCCAUUUGAAACAACAAUUGAAAGAAUAAGCCGAAUAGUUGCUGCUUUUACCACAGGACUGAAAGUGUCCUCAUAAUCUAUUCCAUACCUCUGUUUAAAUCCCUUUGCCACAAGUCGGGCUUUAUAUCGAUCAAUAGUACCAUCUGCCUUCCUUUUAACUUUAUACACCCACUUACAAUCAAUGAUAUUUUUGCCUUUCGGAUAAGGUACCAAGUGCCAAGUUUGAUUCUUCAACAAUGCAGCAUACUCACUGUUCAUUGCCUCGACCCACCGCUUGUCACCAAAAGUCUCAUCAACUGUGCUUGGUUCACCUGCAACAGUAGCACUAUGCAUGCCCCAACAUACCGUACCAUCAGUAUAAACUUUUGGUUUGUGAAUACCGUGCUGAAGACGAGUUACUGGCCGGGUAGGAGGCCGGGUAGGAGCUUCUGGCGGAGCAGAUGCCACACGCUGACCACCAGAUCCAGUCGCCACAGACGAUCCGGGCGGGGAGAUCUCCUCUGAGUUUGUGCCCCCCACGCUCGGAUCAGGCUGCGGCUGCGAUGUGUCUGCAGAAGAUGGAGCCGUGGCGUGAUCGGGCGUAGAGGAUCCACCCGGCUGCCCGUCUGCAUCAGGAGCUGAUCCCGCAGAUGACCCGAUCGAAUCAGCCAUCAUUGCUGCAGACGGAUCUGCUCCGUGUUCCGCGCCUGUGCCCCCUCCGCUGGGACACAUGAAAUAACGCUGCGCUUCAGCGUUUUGAAGCCCAGUUCUCCUGUCUUCUUCACCUGUUCCAGCCAAAAUUUCUCCAGACUGUGGAGCAUCAUUAGUAGAUAUGGAAAUAUCACAUUGGUCACGUAUCUGUGCGUCCCCAAAACCAGCGGUGGGAUUGAGUAAAACGUCUAGGAGGAGAGACAGUUCGGUGCGAAGCCGUGCACCAGCGUUUGGAUGCAUCUCAGCAAAGGGGAAAACACGCUCAUCAAAAACCACAUCUCUAGAGAUAUAGACUCUGCCUACAGAGGGAUCAAGGCACUUAAAUCCCUUGUGCAUGUUACUGUAGCCAAGAAAGACACAGCGCUUAGACCUAAAUUGGAGUUUACGAUCAUUGUAUGGUCUCAAGUUGGGCCAACAGGCACAACCAAAGGUACGAAUGUAGGUAUAAUCUGGCUAAGUCCCUAGAGGACGAGCAUGAGGUGUCUCAUUUGAGAUCACUCUUGAUGGAAGCCGAUUGAUAAGAUACACAGCUGUAAGGUAUGCCUCAUCCCAGAAUUUGAGAGGCAUGGAAGCAUGAGCUAGGAUGGUGAGUCCGACCUCAACGAUGUGUCUAUGUUUGCAUUCGGCCGACCCAUUUUGCUGAUGAGCGUGUGGGCAUGACACACGAUGUGCAAUCCCAGUGCGUUUGAAAAAGGAAUUGAGGGACUGAUAUUCUCCUCCCCAAUCGGUUUGCAUGGUCAAGUUUUUUUUGUUAAACUGGUGUUCAACCAAGCUCUGGAAAUCACGAAAUUUUUGGAAGACCUUGGAUUUGUGACUCAGAAGAUAAAUCCACGUGAACUUACUGAAGUCAUCUAUGAAACUUACAUAGUAACAAUUUCGCCCAACAGAGGCGGGAGCAGGACCCCAAACAUCAGAGUAAAUAAGUUCCAAAGGACUAGUAGAUUCACUAGUUGAACGAAUAUAGGGCAAUUGGUGGCUUUUGCCCCUUUGACAUGCAUCACAAAUAGUGUCUUUAUUCGAAUCAUUAACAAAAGGAAGUCUAUGGUGAUUAAGGACCUGCUUGACUAUUGAAAUAGAUGCAUGACCUAAUCUAUGAUGCCAUUGAGACACGAAGGGCUUGAGAACGCCGAGAGCUUGCUUAUUCUUAUUCUUGACCGACUUGAGAGGAUAGAGCCUCCUUCACAUCUGCCUUGAAGGAGAGUCCUCCUCGUCCCCUGCUGUUUGAUAAAAAAGUGAUCGGGGUGAAAUUCUAAGAAGGCAUUGUUAUCACGAGCAAGACAAUUGACGGAAAGGAGACUUUUUGUGGCUUGUGGAACAUGGAGAAUAUUAUUGAGAUGAAUUUUGCUAGUAUGGGUACGCAAAAUACUAGAACCAACAUGAUUGAUUUCCAUACCUUUUCCACUUGCCGUAUGAACCUGUUCAUGACCUCCAUACUUGUCACGAACUGUGAGUUUCUCCAGAUCACCAGUCACGUGGUCCGUAGCACCCGAGUCUACGUACCAAUUAGUGUCCACGCUGUAUGACGCUGUGGCAGCCGCGGCGCUCUUCUGAGGAGGACCAGUGAACGUGGGGUCGAAGCAUUUGUAGCACUUAAUGACGGAGUGCCCUUCUUUCCCACAGAGCUGGCAAAAGACGCCCGCCUGGAAAUUGGGGCCACGGCCACCGUUGCCGCGACCACCUCUGCCGCCUCGUCCGAAGCCCCCGCGACCGCCGCCAUUGCGGUUGCGAGGGCUGUUGAAGUUGCCGCCGCCUCCACGUCCUCCUUUGGCGGCCAUGUUGGCCGACGAUUGGGAACCUCCACCAUGAAUUUCCAUCCUCUGUUCAAAGCUUGUGAGCUGUGUGUACAGCUCCGCCACCGUAAUUGGCUCCACUCUGGCGCUCACCGCUGAGACAACUGGAUUGAAGUCCAGGUCCAGCCCAGUGAGAAUAUACGAGACAAGCUCGUCAUCUUCAAGCUUUCUUCCCGCAGAUGCCAUCUCAUCUGCGAGGCCUUUCAUCUUGCCGAAGUAAUCUGCCACAGAGGAGGACCCCUUGGUUGCAGUUGCAAGGGCCAUCCUUGUAGCGAUGAUCCGCGCCCUUGACUGGGACGCGUGCAUGGCUUCGAUCGCGGCCCAUGCCGCGGCUGCAGUCUUCUCUAAAGACACCUGAGCAAGGAUCUCCUUCCCAAGAUUGGAAAGGAUGAAACUCAGGACCUGUUGGUCCUUUGCAACCCAAAUAUCAUAUUCGGGAUUGGGCUUUGGCUCGGCAUUCUUGUCAUCACCCUUGACAUCAAGGAACUCGGGUGGUGGAGCCGUCAUGGACUUGAUGAAGCUGUAGAGCUGCGCCCCCUUGAUCGCCGAGAGGACCUGUGCACUCCAUGCUUGAUAGUUGGCACGAGUCAGCUUCUCGCUGACGGGCGAGAACCCUAAGGAGGGAACAAGCGAUACAACGGAAGAGGAUGCCAUGAUCUAACUCCGCUAGGAAAGAGGCUCUGAAUACCAUGUGAAGAUUGAUUGAACGAGUUGCCCUCCCAGGGUCUCGGUUACGUGUUAUAUAGAAGCCAGGAACAGCCCACUGGCAUGGCUUACAACAAUAAGCUUGUUACAACAAGAAUAUCUACAAACCCUCAACUAACCUAUCUAUCCUCCAAGACUCAUGCACAUGCAUGACUUGGAUUACAAGAAUAGCAUCUGCGCUAUCCUGCACCUGGACGCAAUACCGUUUAACAUAUAUUGCCCUUAGACCAAUAGUAGCUGACGAAAUCAACAUCAUUGUUAUAGUUGUCAUUUGUUUUUAAAACCUACAUAUAUGCUUUGCUUAAGAACAUUUGGGCAUAUGUCGACAACCAAAUAGGAAUCAUUGAGUUGAAGAUAGAUUGAAAAAUACGUGCAAACAAGAAACAAUAAAACAGAUCAACAUAUUCAACCAACGCUUAUCUCCACCACACCCUCUUGGCAUCGAAAUAUGCCGACAUUCCCCUUAGAUAGGGGCUAAAUCCAUUCCCACCCACUCUUCACAUUGAAAUAUACCGAUGCUCCCCUAAGAUAGGGUCGAUUCUGAGUGGUUGAUUGUAGCACUAGCAUGUUUAGUUUGUAUAAAUGUGUUUCUAACACACAAAAGGACAUGUGGCCUAGUGGUUGCAAUAGCCUUAGUAGCACCUCAUCUACUAGGUUCAACUCCUCAUGAGACCAAAUUUUCUAGGAUUUAACAGUGUUGUGCUUUUAGUGGUAGACAAUGUUCUCAUCGAUAAUGAGGCGCUUGUGAUGACUCCAUCAAUCAGCGCCUAUGAUGACUUCAUCAAUAUCGAGAAUUUUCUAGCUAGCACAUUCAUGAUUUAUGUAGUUGGAAAAGCUUCCUUCUCUUCAACUUUUUGCAGCAUCAACAACCAACCAUCAAUGAUCUAUUCUUGGUUUCCUCCAACCUAUCAACCCACUCCAAGCAUCAAACAAGGGCUUCCAUCUGACCUCCUCCCCUGCACAGCAUCUUGGCUUGGCUUGUGCCUCUGUCGAGGGUAUCAACAAGGGGUACCCUCACCAAUGCGUAUAACGAGACCAUCCGUACAUAAAACUAGCCCCUCGAUUCGACGCUCCGUCCGCACACACGCGCGGCCAUCGACGGCCGCCGCCUCGAAGACGGAAAUAGCGUCGAGCGAAUCGAUCAGGGCUCGAGCGACAACUGACGUCGAAUACGGAAGCAGGCUCGAGCGAACCGAGAGGCGUAGAGCGCAAGGACACUGUCCGCCGCCUGACGCGCGCACGAGAGCCAGGGCAUUUAAUGCACCUGACGCUUCCCCACCUAACACACGGGUCACGGAAGGCGUGAUAGGGAACAGGCUUCUGUCCCAUCGUUCUUUUUGCAGCCUUCCCACCGAACGACCCAGGGCGUGUCAGGACGCGGGAAACAAGGAUGGAACGUCUAAUCGGGACCCCCUCGAGACACCCAAGGUCAGCGCUCCAGAUAUCGACACCUCGUACGGCGUUCGACCCUCGACUUCAACAGGCUCCUUCCUGGAUACGAGUCGGGGGUCGACUGACCACGCCGUAACCGCUCCGCCGGAUUUGCCGCCGAGCCAUAUAAGCGUGCAUCUGUCAAACCAAUCCAAGACGGCGCGCAGAACAGAAUGCAGGGGCACGCGUAAUCAUCACUAGGCUAUUAAGAUGGGACGGUUUGAGGCCAUGCCGGUACGGAAGCCUCGAGUAGGUCAGCGCUCCAUGCUGCUAUCGACCCCUACUCUGACACCUACACAUGUACCCUAGGUCUCCCCUUGGAACUAUAAAAGGAGAGACCCGGGAAUAGACACGGAGGAGACAACACGACACCCAUACGCAGUAGAACUCACACACUUCAUACCACGCUUGUAUUCACCCCUGUACAAGCACUUCGGUGCAAGAUAAUACAAACUCUCUCCCCCCCGCUGGACGUAGGGCCUUCUCUUGCCCGAACCAGGAUAAAUCUCUGUGUCUUCUUGCAUCACCAUCUGGGAAAGGGAGCACGCAUACAAAUUUACUCGUUGGUGUGACCCCCAGUGGGGAAAACACCGACAGUUGGCGCGCCAGGUAGGGGUCCUGCGUGUUUUUCAUCGGUUUCCCACUCCUUUCCAGAUGGCAGCUCUUGCCUCGCCGAUUCCACACUCCACGGUGAUUUGGUUUGGGAGUCUCGAGUUCAUGUCCACGGGCUCCGGCUACGACAUGAUCUUGCUCUCAGUCAAAGGACCGGGAGGAGCCCGUGUUGCGCCAGCACGGUUGAGGGCCCCGAGACGCCCUCGCCACCACGCCUCCCCACCCAAGAAGAGGCGUGGACAACACCACCGCCGUCCCUCUGCCUCAUCACGACCGGCAACUCGCGCGAGGCAGGAGGCGGACCGCGAGCCGGCGAUACCAUGUGCCGGAGCUGCGGACACGACGGCUCAGCACCACGCGACAACGGGAGGGGACGCAUCUCGCGCAACCUCUCCCACCGCUGCUAAGCUACUUCCACACGGGUUGUUCACUCCAAGAAGGGCACUGCCAUUCAGAUUAGACAACGCCGCGGCAUCGCUCGCCAGAACAAUAUGCCCAGAUGCUCAGACGUAUGUAGAGAGACCAAUGGUCCUCCCUCGUGACUCUGAGACACUACGGCCGACGUCCGAACUGCCGGAUCUCUCCUGGGUGCGAGGCCUCCGCCGCUUAGGCCCUGGGCGAUACGCGAUCACCUCACUCAGGCAACGACUGCUGGAGGAGGGACGCGGAUGCUUCUACGCUGCCGAGCCAGACUCCGACUCCGAGACUGAUAGCUACGACCCUACGAGGGAGUGCUAUCACAUCAACGGGGCAGUAGAAACUACCGACGAGACGCGAGAUGCUACUGCCGUCGAGCCCCCGCCGCGCGAGAAGACCCCAGAACGCCAGGGAAUGACGGACAGGUCGACCCCCCUCCACAGGAAGACAAAGCUGCACAGCUAGCGUAGCUACGAGAGCUCAUGAUGAAGCUCGACGAAGACCGAGAGCGCCUCAUUCUGCUUGAGCAAAUCCUUGAGCAAGACUUGCCGUAUCCACCAGGCGGAAGUGUUCGCAGACGAGCUCGAGAGGUACAUCGACAGAUCGUCGGAGACGCAGAGCUAGAGCGGCCAGUCAGCCGCUUCCCUCGAGCAGGCCAAAACGUAGUGGCGGCGACGAUGCUGCUGCGCAACAUGCCAGAGCCGUCGAACUCCCAGGCUCGACGCAUUCGAGACGAGGUACAGACACUGCUCCAGGUGGCGGCAGUUCAACAGGCCGAAAGCUCAGCCUCUCGACGGCGAGGGGCUGCCACAGAAAAGCACGACAAGCAACCUCGAAAUGAAAAGGAGGUAUCAGUCCAUCAACAGCCUCCACCUCAAGGCAGAAAGACCACUCUUGUUCUCCCCGUCGACAAUCAGCGUCGACACGACGCACGGCAUGACAUCGAAGAAAAUCGACGCCGCCGGCACGGAGACGCGGAAGAGCGCGGUUACAGCGCGCAUCGCGGCGGGAGGUACGACAGCGACGAGGACCGGGUGGCCCCCGAGCCACCGGGCCCACGGGUGUUCAGCAGGGCGAUCCGUAGCACGCCCCUGCCCAGUCCGUUCCGACCCCCGACCAGCAUCGCGAAAUACAAUGGAGAGACCAAACCAGAGUUAUGGCUGGCCGAUUUCAGGCUGGCCUGUCAGCUAGGUGGCGCUCGAGGUGAUGAUCGAGCCAUCAUCAGACAGCUACCCCUCUUCCUCUCCGACACCGCCCGCCGAUGGCUCGAAGAACUUCCAGCAAAUCAGAUUCACGACUGGGUCGACUUGGUAAAAGUUUUCGAGGGAAAUUUCAAAGGGACCUACAUACGGCCCGGGAACUCGUGGGACCUCAGCAAAUGCAAGUAGAAGUCAGGAGAAACUCUUCGAGAGUACGCUCGACGCUUCUCGAAGCAGCGCACUGAGCUUCCGCACAUCCCUGACCAUGACGUCAUCCUGGCUUUUGUCUCUGGUACCACCAGUCGAGACUUAGUGCGGGAACUGGGCCGAAAUCGCCCUCAGACCGUCGAUGAGCUGAUGGACUUAGUAGCAAACUACGCGGCAGGGGAGGAGGCAGUCGGCGCCUUCUUCAGCUGUGAAGGGGGGAAAGGCAAGCGGCCCGUCGAUGAAGAUGGAACCCCCAGUCGGGGGCUCAAGAAGAACAAGAAGAAGCAGAAAGUGCGGCAGUACAAGCAGGAGAACUUCGACGACGAUCUCGUCGCUGCCAUGGAGCGGAAGAAGCCUAGAGGCCCCCCAGACGGAGGUAUCUUCGACAAGAUGCUCGAAGAACUGUGCCCUUACCAUAAGGGAGGCGCCAACCACAAGCUCAAGGAUUGUCGGAUGCUGAAAAGGCAUUUCGACAGUCUAGGGCUCAAAAGGGAUGAGCGUGACGACUCGAAGAAGGAUAAGGGCGGCGACAAAGAGGGCAACAAGGACGACGACGGCUUCCCCGCCGUCCACGACUGCUACAUGAUCUAUGGUGGGCCUUCGACACAAUUGACCACGAGGCAGCGCAAAAGGGAACGCCGAGAGGUCUUCGAUCGAGAGGACCACCCCGACAAGGUAGUCGCCCCAGGCGUCUACCCGCUCGUCGUCGACCCAAUCAUCAUCAACACCCGGCUCUCCAAGGUGCUAAUGGACGGAGGCAGCAGCCUCAACAUCAUCUACCUCGAGACCCUCGACCUCCUCGGCAUCGAUAGGGGACGCCUCCAGCCAAGCGCCAGAGGUUUCCAUGGCGUCGUGCCAGGUAAAAAGGCGCUGCCAGUAGGUCGAAUCGACCUACCAGUCUGCUUUGGCACAGCGGCCAACUUCAGGAAGGAGACCCUCACUUUUGAGGUGGUCGGAUUCCGGGGCACAUACCACGCCAUCAUCGGGCGCUCGGGCUAUGCCAAAUUCAUGGCUAUACCCAACUACACCUACUUGAAGCUGAAGAUGCUCGGCCCCAAAGGCGUCAUCACCGUCAGCUCCUCCUUCGAGCAUGCGUACGAGUGCGACGUCGAGUGCGUCGAGUAUGGGGAGGCGGUCGAAAACUCCACCGAGCUCGUCGCGAAGCUCGAGGCCCUGGCCGCUGAGGCCCCAGAGCCCAAGCGCCAUGCGGGCAGCUUCGAGGCGGCAGAAGGAACCAAGAAGAUCCCGCUCGACCCCAACAGCUCCGACGGCAAGGUGCUGACGAUCAGCGCCGAUCUCGACCCCAAAUAGGAAGCUGUGCUCGUCGACUUUCUCCAUGCAAAUGCCGACAUGUUUGCAUGGAGUCCUUCGGACAUGCCAGGCAUACCGAGGGAAGUCGUCGAGCACUCCUUGGAGAUUCGAGCCGGUUCCAAGCCAGUGAAGCAGCGGUUGCGCCGAUUCGACGAGGAGAAGCGCAAGAUCAUUGGUGAGGAAGUCCACAAGCUUUUGACGGCCGGAUUCAUCAAGGAGGUUCAUCAUCCCGACUGGUUAGCGAACCCUGUAUUAGUUAAGAAAAAGAAUGGGAAAAUGAGGAUGUGUGUCGAUUAUACUAGUCUAAAUAAAGCGUGUCCAAAAGUUCCUUUUCCUUUGCCACGUAUUGAUCAGAUUGUCGAUUCUACCGCGGGAUGUGAAACCCUUUCUUUCCUUGAUGCAUAUUCUGGUUAUCAUCAAAUAAAAAUGAAAGAGUCCGACCAGCUCGCGACCUCUUUCAUCACACCUUUUGGGAUGUAUUGCUACGUGACUGUUGACGGUGGAUAUACCAUAGAAAUCCACAUACAAAACACCGUCAACAUGCCUCGGUUGCAAGGGGAAACGACAUGACAUGAACAUAUUUUAUCCAUAACUAGUUCCACUUGUACUCUUAGCUUGUUUAUGCAGGAACAACAAAUUAAAGACAUUAUUUGACAAAGCCAACAUCAGAAUCAUCAAGAGGAGAUCGAGGGGACAACAGGUGACACCCUGGGCCCACAGGGAGGGGGUCGCCCGACCCCUCUUUGGUGGGACCCAGGUGUGCCACCUAGUCCACCGACAUAAGGGACCCCUGUGGACACUGCUGGUGGGCCCAGAGGCCCAGAAGUGGGGUCGCCCGACCCCACAUCAAAGGCGGUUCCAGGGUCGGUGGCCUCCCACCGACCUUCCCCACAUGUCCCACAUGUUGAUUUGCCCCUGCCGUUGAUCAAAUGGCGGUUGUGAGGUCGGUUUGAUCCAAGGGUGGAGAGAAGAUGUCACGCGGAUCGAUGACGUGGCGAUGGAGUAACCCCUACUCCAUCUCCCUCUAUAAAAGGCAGCCUCCAUCCUUCAUUUCAAGUGUGCAAUUCCAAGGCCAAGUGCAUUACAAGUUCCAAGCAUACAAGUAGAGUAGUAGUUAGUCUAGAGUGGGAGUUAGAGUCGAGUCGAGCGAAGCUCGGGGUCUCCGGAGUCGUCUUCUGGAGAGUCUGGUAUAGCUCUUGUACCUUUCUACUUUUGUAAGACUUUCCUUUUAUUAAUAUAUUAUUCUUACUUUACUGAGUUCUUACUUAGUGCAAGUCUUUUAGUCUUGUUGUGCAUUUACUUUAGUAAUAUAGUUGUCUUAGUGAAGUUAGUGACCUGUAACCACUCCUGUGUGUGCAUCAUCGUCCUAUCUUGUAUAGGAGCUCUAGCUAGCUGCAACUAGUUAGCGUUGUAGGAUUAAGUGUGAGCGUGGUGCUCAUACUUAAGAUUACCUUUGAUUACCGCUGGCUUGAACGGAAAGUAGGAGCGCACUCCCUAGUAGGUGACAGAUCGUGGGCGGCAUUAGGUUCUCCUCACGUACAGGCUAGUUCUUAAAAGGUAAGGCGUCCAUAAGCCGAAUAGUCGCUUUCGGUAAGGGGUUAGGUGAAAAACCUUCUAAGCGUCUUACCAGCUCGGCUAUCCCUCGCACACAGUUAGUAAGGCUCUAGCGUAGUUAAGACAAUUAUCUAUUAAAGUAAGUCACAGAAGUCAAGUUAGAUACAUAGGAGUCCUUUACUCACUCGUUGUCCUCCCACCUAGCUAACUCUACCAUUUACCUUUAGCAUAGGACCUUGGAUUCACCACUACCCUUCCUAUUCGUUAUUUACCACCCUUAUUCACUAGUUGAUACUAGAUAACUCAAGGAAUCUCAUUCCCCUUUUUGUUAAACACACUUAGCCGCUUUCCCUUGGGAAAAUAUAAAUUACGAUACCUUGGAAUACUCCUUGGUGAAGUGCUACAAUGGUACAUUAUGUGCGCUUGCGGAAUUAUCCAAUAGUAAAUAGAGUUACCCUACCAGGGCACUUCUGGCGCCGUCGCCGAUAUCCGGUGGUUGCGUUAAGAAGUGUCAACAGUGACCAUGCCAUUUGGGCUUCGAAACGCGGGAGCCACGUACCAACGUUGCAUGCUCCACGUAUUUGGCGAACACAUAGGGUCAACGGUCGAGGCCUACGUCAACGACAUUGUCGUCAAGUCAAAACGGCGAGGGGACCUGAUCCAGGAUCUCGAGAUCGCUUUUAGCUGCUUGCGCACCAACCAGAUCAAGCUCAAUCCCGAGAAAUGCGUUUUCGGCGUGCCUCGAGGCAUGCUCCUAGGAUACAUCGUUUCGCAGCGCGGCAUCGAGGCCAACCCCGAGAAAGUCUCGGCCAUUACAAGAAUGGGGCCGAUCCGAGACAUCAAGGGUGUGCAGAGAGUCACGGGAUGCCUGGCGGCUCUGAGCCAUUUCAUCUCGAGACUAGGAGAAAAGGCGUUACCACUGUACUGACUCCUGAAGAAGGUCGAGCGCUUUUCUUGGACCCCCGAGGCCGAGGAAGCUCUAGAAAGACUGAAGAAAACGCUGACCUCGGCACCAGUCCUGGUCCCACCUCAACCUGCAGAGCCGCUACUCCUCUACGUCGCAUCGACGGCCCAGGUCGUCAGUGCGGCAGUGGUGGUUGAAAGACAGGAGGAGGGUCAUACGCUGCCGGUCCAAAAGGCCGGUCUAUUUCGUCAGCGAGGUGCUUUCGGAGACCAAGGCGCGUUACCCCCAAAUCCAGAAGCUGAUCUACGCCAUAAUCCUUGCCCGCCGCAAGCUACAGCAUUACUUUCUCGGCCACCCCAUCACGGUGGUCUCGUCUUUCCCUUUGGGCGAGAUAAUCCGGAGCAAGGAGGCCACGGGAAGAAUAGCUAAGUAGUCAGUCGAACUCAUGAGUGAGACUCUCACUUACGCGCCUCGCAAGGCCAUCAAAUCGCAAGCCCUAGUGGACUUCAUCACGGAAUGGACAGACUCCCAGCUCCCCCCGACCCUAGUCCAGGCGGAGCUGUGGACGAUGUAUUUCGACGGGUCACUCAUGAAAACGGGGGCUGGGGCUGGUCUGUUGUUCAUCUCACCCUUGGGCGUCCAUAUGAGGUAUGUCAUCAGGAUUCACUUUGCCGCAUCCAACAACGUCGCGGAAUACAAGGCCCUCGUCAACGGUCUCAAGAUUGCCAUCGAGCUAGGAGUCCGACGCCUCGACGUCCGAGGUGACUCCCAACUCGUCAUCGACCAGGUAAUGAAAACUUCGAGCUGCCACGACCUGAAAAUGGAGGCGUACUGCAAAGAAGUCCGUCGACUCGGGGACAAGUUCCAUGGCCUCGAGCUCGUGCACAUCGCCCGACGCUACAACGAAGCAGCUGACGAACUUGCCAAAAUCGCGUCGACCCGAGGCACGGUACCACCUGACGCGCUCUCGAGAGAUCUCCACGAGCCAUCCGUCGACUUGGGCUCGGGGGCUGGCGUCGACGCCGCUCCCGCCCAGCCAACCGACAACGUCGACACGCUGCUGACCUCAAUAGAGGUGAUGGAGGUGGAACAGCGACCCGGUCGACCGUUCGACUGGCGCACACCAUUCCUCGACUGCCUAAUCCGCUGCGAGCUGCCAGAAGAUCGGUCAGAGGCCCGUCGUAUCGCUCGACGGGCCAAGUCAUAUGUGAUCUAUGGCGAAGACAAUGAGCUAUAUCGACGAAGCCCGACGGGGGUCUUAUAGCGUUGCAUCACCGUGGAAGAAGGCUGAAAACUCCUCGAAGACCUACACUCGGGGGCUUGCGGCCAUCAUGCCGCUCCGCGGACCCUUGUAGGGAACGCUUUUCGACAAGGCUUCUACUGGCCGACGGCCGUGGCGGAUGCCAUCGAGCUCGUACGCUCGUGUCAUGGGUGCCAGUUCUACGCCAAACAGACGCAUCUGCCCGCCCACGCUCUUCAGAUGAUCCCCAUCACCUGGCCGUUUGCGGUGUGGGGGCUCGAUUUAGUAGGACCUCUACAAAAGGCGAAAGGAGGGUACACCCAUUUGCUGGUGGCCAUUGACAAGUUCUCCAAAUGGAUCGAGGCUCGACCCAUCACCAACAUCCGCUCUGAGCAGGCUGUCCUUUUCUUCACCGACAUCAUCCAUUGGUUUGGGAUCCCCAACGUCAUCAUCACCGACAACGGCACCCAGUUCACCGGCAAAAAGUUCUUAGAUUUCUGCGAUCAGCAUCACAUCCGUGUGAACUAGUCCGCGGUGGCUCACCCUCGAUCUAACGGCCAGGUCGAGCGUGCCAGUGGCAUGAUCUUGCAGGGGCUCAAACCAAGAAUCUACAAUCGCCUGAAGAAAUUCGGCAAGAAGUGGGUCGAGGAGCUUCCCUCGGUCCUAUGGAGUUUGAGGACAACACCAAGCUGGGCCACAAAGUACACCCCGUUCUUCAUGGUCUACGGCUCUGAGGCUGCCUCCCCACAGACCUCGAGUACGGGUCACCUCGACUCAAGGCCUACAACGAGCAAUCAAACAAAGAGGCUCAAGAAAACGCGGUCGACCAACUCGAGGAGGCUCGAGACAUGGCCCUCCUCAACUCUGCCAGAUAUCAGCAGAAACUUCGAUGCUACCACGACAAGCAUGUGCGCAAGAGGGACCUCAACAUGGGCGACCUAGUCCUACGACGCCGGCAAAGCAAUCAAGGACGCCACAAGCUGACUCCACCUUGGGAAGGCCCGUACGUGGUGGCCGAGGUCCUGAAGCUGGGAACGUACAAGUUGGCAGACGAAAAAGGGGCAAUCUUCACCAACGCAUGGAACAUCGAACAACUACGUCGAUUCUACCCCUAGAAGUUCCAAACUUACGUUCCUACGUACAUUUUGUACCAAGACUUUGUAAACAAAUGCAUGAAUAAAUAAAGUCUUUCCCUCGAGCAACUUCUUUUUGCGCCAAAUGAUUUACAAGUCAUAAUCUCGACGUUAGAAGGGGGAGCCGACUAUGACCCAUCAUAGUCAACACCCCCUCCGGGGCUACCAGGGGGACGGCCCCCACCCCAUGCGUCAAAAAAGCCAAGAAAUUUUCUUUUUUCUUACUUAGUAAACCUUGCACGAUUCGAGUAGCCAAGGCACCUCGAGCCCCUCAAAGGCCGAAGGACAACAAGCCUGAGAACUCCUACGCCCCCGGGCUACGGAAACUCUACUCACUUCCUCACCUUUGAGGUGAUCGAGGUUGUUUUUGACGAAAGAUCGAACAAGGAAUACAAACGUAGGAACAAGGAGGAACAAAAGAACCUCGAGCGGAAAGACAUAUAAAAAUUCAACGAUUACAAAAAGAUACUGUGUCGCUUAGCAAUAGAAUUAACGAAGUAUCAUACAAGGGGCCCCAGGCGCCCCGAGCAGGCUCGCAGGCCUCAGUCCGCGGUACGAUCCUCACCGCCCUCGCCUCCGCCCGAGCUAGCCUCAGGAGGGAGCACCUCAGGCUCAAAAAGCCUAGCCAACCUUUCCCUAGGAGCCUCCGCGUCGUCGAUCAAGGCAUGGAGCCUCUCCUCGUUCUCCGCGUCGGUCUUGGAGAUGUCGAUGAUGAAGCCAUGAGACACCACCUCCAUGUCGUAGGAGAAGCCCGAGGAGACAACCGCCAUCGCCCGCUUCACCCCGAUGUGGAGGGCAUCCCGCACCCGAUCUCGCAGCGUUGCGCCUAUGUAGCACAGCUGGUCGACCAGGGCGUCGCCUCGAGCGCCCUCCCUUGACUCAUCCAUAGGCUCGACCUCCCAAGAGGUCGAGAGAUCACUUAUCGCCGUCCGCACUCGAUGGUUCAAAGCAGCCUCCGCCUCGAGCUGAGCCUUGGCGUUGCGAGCCUCGGCUUGGGCGGCCAGGAGUUCGUCCUUGAGCCCUGUAAAGGCCAGUACAAGAGACCUUAGGAAAAACCAAGCACACCUCGAAAAAAGAAAUCCGAUAGAGGAAACGUACCGCGUACGGUCUCCUCUAGGGCCGUGUUUUCGCCGACCAGCCUGGUGUCGGCCCUCUCGAUCUCUCUGUUGGAGCGUGCCAGCUCGGUGUUGGCAACACGGAGAUCCUCGAUCGCUUUGCCAGCCUGAACAAUGGCCCCGCUCUUCUCCAGCAGCUCUCCCUUCAGACGUUCAACGUCGUCAGAGAGCCUGCGGGAUUGAGCCCGCUCCGCCUCGAGAUCUUCGAGGGCCUUCUUCUUGGUUUCCUCCGCGGCGCUCCUGGCGAUCUCGCCGUUCACGUGCUCCACCUUCAUCCUUUGGAAGGACUCUCGAAGGGAGUCCAGGUCGGUUUUAAGGAGGCCCUUCUCCUUGUCCAGAUCUGCGAUAACGCUCUUGUAAGACAGGACCUCCUCCCGGGCUUUGGACGCGGCCUCCUCGACCGUAAGAGCCCGCUCCCGCAGCAGCAUCGUCUCCUCCUCUGCCUUCUUCGAGGCCUCUCGAGCCUCGGCCAAGGCAGCCUCCCUUGCCUUCUUCUCCUCCCCGAGCGCUAUGAGAUCCUUAUAAGCUUGAAGGAGCUUUUCCUGCGACUCGAGGAGUUGAUCCUUGAGGAGGGGGAGCUGCUCCCAGCCGCCUCUCGUGGCGUGUAUGAAACUAGACUUGAUGCGGGAGGUCUCCUUCAUAUCCUGCGAACCAAGGAUCGAACGGUUAGAGCACAAAACUGAAAGGUUUCAUAAGGAUUGAAGAUCGAAAAAACACUCACGAAGUAAGCCGGCCCGAGCCCGUUGUUAAUGACGUCUGCCAGGAGCCCCACCACAUGCUUCAUCCAAAGGCGGAGCUCCUCGACGUGUUCCCACUUUUCCGCCUCCUUCCGGUCAUCCAGGAAGAUGUUCGGCUCGGACGGGUCGUGGGAGGCCCGGGUGCGGAUCCGAUCAGGGCACCAGUGCUCCAUCUCCCGGUCGGCCCGUGCCUUGACGCCGCGGAUGAGGUCCUCGACGGUCUCGAGGGAGCCCCCAUGGCGCAGGAACAGGUCGACGAGGCAUGGGAACCGCCCGUCGUCGUCCACCGUCUUCCAAGUUCCGUCCUUGGUCCCCGAUGUCCCGAUCUCGUCCUCCUCAGAAGGAAAGUGGUCCUCCCAUGCCCGACGCUCCCGGAGGAACCCUGGGGCAAUACCGUCCAUGCCGUAGAUCGUCCUCUUGAUCUCGGACUCGGGGUCGGUGGGAGUGCGCAUCAUGCAGGCGAGCGCCACCACUCCAUCCGCUUGCCCCGGCUCUGCCCGGAUCGCGGCAGGUGCCCCCGGGAGGAGCCAUGCUGGGGUCGGGGGGCCGUACACCGGCAAAUCCUCUUCUUGCUCACCGGGCUCUUGCGGCUCCGGCGGCGCCGGCUGAGCCGGACCUUGGGGCGGGGGUUCGAGCAGUCCCUCCCCUUGGCGCCCCUGCUGCUGCUGCUCCUGCUGCUGCUGCUGUUGCUCCUGCUGCUGCUGCAGCUGCUCCUGCUGCAGCUGCUGUUGCUGCUGCUGCUGCUGUUGCUGUUGUUGCGCCUCAUGCUCCUGCGGCUGCCGCGCCGCCUCGCGCUGCCGCUGUUCAUCCUCCUCCCUCUUCUUCUUCUGCUCCUCGAGGGUACGGAGGCCGGCGGGCCAGGGAGUCGAUCCUGCGACGUGAGGGGUCGACGUUUCCUCCUCCAUAGGGCGGACACCCCCAGAUGCUUCGUUACCAUCAGACGUAUCGCUGAUGGUGAUGGGUUCUCCCUCGACCCCCAAUCGAGGGGACUCGGGGGCUCCCUCUGACGCUUGCGUCCGGGGCGCCUCAUCACAAGUCGGCGGCGACGGAAUAGGCGCGGGACGAGACGGAGCCCUCUCGGCGCCGGCUGGAGGUUGGGAACUAGAGGAGCCUACAAAACAAAGGGUAAGGGUCAUACGUUAUAAUAACCGACACAAGAACAUCGCAAGGCCCAGAAAUAAACUACAAACCUGGUUCCGUGGAGACGGCUCCCGUUUUGAGCCUCUUCGCCAUGGACGGCUGGGCCUGCUCGAGGGUCCGCUUUAGCCUGAGAAAAAAAUGGCAUAUGAGGAAACGCAGGGGAGUAGAAAGACAAAAGCCACAACAUCAAGAAGGCUUACCCCACAGGGAGAACAGCUCGCCUCCCUCCGCCCCGAUCGGCGGGCCUCGAGCCUCCCCGCGUCAGGGCUCCAGGCCCCUCGAGGGCAGGCGCUGGCCUAGGUGCGUCAGUUCCCGCCUGGCGGACGCCGGGACUGGCACUCCUGUAGCCGACCUCUCCUUUCUCGGAGGCCGCUGCGCGACCGCGGGUCAGUGGCCCCGUCGCUUGGGGCCUGGCGUGACCGCUCUCCCUGACCGCCGGGGGAGGGGGCGGCGCGACUUGACUGACCUUGGUCGCGGGAGGGGUAUCGGCGCGAGGACGGUGGGAUCCGCCUGGGCCCCCUGUCGGAGCUUCCGCCCGAGGAGCGUCGACGUCGCCUUGAGAUGGACCCCCGAGGAUCCGGUCAAGACGAGACGCCAUCCCCUCGGAGUCCUCACUGUCCUCGUCAUCAUCGUCAUCUUUCUCGCUGGGGGCCUCUUCCUCAGGCUCUCCCCUCUGCCUGGAUUUGGACCGGCGCGCCUCUAAGGCUUGCCGGUCGAGGUUUUUCUUCUUCUCCCCCUUCUUCUUAGAGUCCAUGACGGACUUCGACUUCUCGGCGGACCGGCGCCGCGCGUCGCGGUCGACUUCGUCCUCCCUCACCGGGGGCCUCGAGGAUCGAACGUCGAUCCGCCCCUGCCACCGUAAAAAGUAGACUUAGAAAAAGGGGUUGGAAAAGGAACCCAGAGUCAAGGCUACCCACGAGGAAGAAAACAUACCAGAUCGACCGAGCCUUCAUCAGGCCUCAUGGGGAAGCCGUUGACGUGUUGCGACUUGAAGUCGCCGGCGAUGGCCGCCCUGACCCGGGCGGCGACUUCAUCGUCCGCCAGAGCCACGUUUGACAUCCGGCAAGCUUCGAGAUCCCGGGACGAAACGCCCGGCCCCAUUUCAUCCAUCCUCAACGGCCGAGACAUCAGGGGAAGGACCCUCCGACGAUGGACGGCCGAGAGGACGAGAGCGGCGGACAGGCCCUCCAGGCGCAGCUUCUUCAUGGCGUCGAGGAGGGGGUCGAGCCGCGACUGGUGCUCCUAGACGACGCCAUACGUCGAGUUGUCCGGGCGCUCCGAGAUCAGACGGCCCGUGUAGGUGGGGAAGAGACCGUCGUCGUUUCUCAGAUAGAACCACUGGGAGUCCCACCCAGCAUGGUUCGACGACAGCCCCACCGGGAUGUACUCGCGCGGCCUUUCCGUCUUCUUCGUCUUCAACACCAGGUUGAGGCAUCCGGCCCGCACGGGUUUCCUCACGCCGAUGGUUCCGGUGGGGGCGUUGAAAAGUUCGCCUCUAUAGAGGUGGAGCCAUAGGUCCCAAUGGGGCAUCAUCCCCAAAUAGCCCUCACACACCGCGGCGAAGACCGUCGCGACGGUGAUGGCGUUCGGGGAAAAAUGCUGGAGCUCCACUCCACAGUGGAAGCAGAGGGCCCGCAUAAAGCGACUCGGGGGAGCACCCAAGCCAUGGCGGUGGAACUUGGCGAAUGACACCACAUAGCCCUCGGGUGGCUGGGGCUCCCUGUGACUCGUCGGCGGCGCGAUCCACUCCGGCGAAGACUGUGAAGUGCGGCGGCGCAAGAGCCCUUCAUUCUCGAGCUCUAGCAGACGGCGGUCCGUCAUCAACGACGGAUGCCAGUCGUCGGCGGCAACAAGCCUCACAGGCAUCUUGGUUGGAAAGAUGGUGGAUUCGCUACCGCUCGAGGGGGUGCACGCGCGCGCGGAGGAAGCAAGAGAGCAAAGGCCGCGAGAAGACGAAAGUGAGAGGACGGAAGGGGAGAGAAAGAAUGGAGCAACACCACGGCGUAUUUAUAGAUAGCGGCCAACCAACGGAUAGAUCCGAUAAAUGAGGUAACUCCCCCCAUAAAUGCGCCGUCUAACGGUCCUUUCUCUCCUCACAGGCCGGACGCUCCGAAUUCCCCGCCGAUACAGUGUCGCAACGUCACUUACCUCAAAAGGUGCGCCCAACGGGCAGAAAGACGAACCGGCACGGCAGCUUCCUUACUUCGUAAGCCAAGGUAUGCGCCCACGAUAGUCUCGAGAGGUCGAUGGCUGGCCCGUCGAAAGGGUUCGACAGCCGAUCUCGAGCAUCAAGAGUCAGGGAUCCCCAGCGAGCGGUCGAAAAUCGAGGCCCGCCUCGAGGACUUGCUGGCGAUGUCCAAGGUAGGGUCGAGACAGUCGAGAGGAAUCCCCCCGAAGAGAGGCAUCGAGCCGCUGGACUCUAUCGAAUGAGACCGGUAUCCCCGACCACGCCGACCCUGCUUUAUGCGGGCGCCUCCGGGCUUCAGCUGACCCCCUCGAAAGGGGCACAGGUUCUCACUUGGACUACCCGCUAGGAACUCAAUCUGGGGUGGAAGACGCUCGCUCUAUCGAGAGUACGUCGAAACCUCCACGCAAGGCAAAGCCGAACAGAACCUUCCACCAUGGGUGUUGACAGCGUUUUUGCAAAUUCAGCAAAAUAACCCUCGAAGGAGUUAAAUACUCCCUCGAGGACUCGGGGGCUACCCCCGCGGGGUCGCUCACGCGCCCCCGCGGAAGCUCGACCGUAAAAGCGAAAGUCUCCACUCGAGCGCCAGCGCUCGACUGAAGACUCGGGGGCUACUGUCGAGGGUAUCAACAAGGGGUACCCUCACCAAUGCGUAUAACGAGACCAUCCGUACAUAAAACUAGCCCCUCGAUUCGACGCUCCGUCCGCACACACGCGCGGCCAUCGACGGCUGCCACCUCGAAGACGGAAAUAGCGUCGAGCGAAUCGAUCAAGGCUCGAGCGACAACUGACGUCGAAUACGGAAGCGGGCUCGAGCGAACCGAGAGGCGUAGAGCGCAAGGACACUGUCCGCCGCUUGACGCGCGCACGAGAGCCAGGGCAUUUAAUGCACCUGACGCUUCCCCACCUAACACACGGGUCACGGGAGGCGUGAUAGGGAACAGGCUUCUGUCCCAUCGUUCUUUUUGCAGCGUUCCCACCGAACGACCCAGGGCGUGUCAGGACGCGGGAAACAAGGAUGGAACGUCUAAUCGGGACCCCCUCGAGACACCCAAGGUCAGCGCUCCAGAUAUCGACACCUCGUACGGCGUCCGACCCUCGACUUCACCAGGCUCCUUCCUGGAUACGAGUCGGGGGUCGACUGACCACGCCGUAACCGCUCCGCCGGAUUUGCCGCCGAGCCAUAUAAGCGUGCAUCUGUCAAACCAAUCCAAGACGGCGCGUAGAGCAGAAUGUAGGGGCACGCGUAAUCAUCACUAGGCUAUUAAGAUGGGACGGUUCGAGGCCAUGCCUGUACGGAAGCCUCGAGUAGGUCAGCGCUCCAUGCUGCUAUCGACCCCUACUCUGACACCUACACAUGUACCCUAGGUCUCCCCUUGGAACUAUAAAAGGAGAGACCCGGGAAUAGACACGGAGGAGACAACACGACACCCAUACGCAGUAGAACUCACACACUUCAUACCAUGCUUGUAUUCACCCCUGUACAAGCACUUCGGUGCAAGAUAAUACAAACUCUCUCCCCCCCGCUGGACGUAGGGCCUUCUCUUGCCCGAACCAGGAUAAAUCUCUGUGUCUUCUUGCAUCACCAUCUGGGAAAGGGAGAACGCAUACAAAUUUACUCGUUGGUGUGACCCCCGGUGGGGAAAACACCGACAGCCUCUAUCUUCUCUUUGUAGUCUACAUUCCAUCAACAAAGUUCAACCAUAUGGAACUUGUAUAUUUCUAAAGCUCAUUUGCAUAGUAAAGACUCGUAUAUUUUGGUUUAUUUUACCAUUGGGGAUCCUGGAGGAUUGAUCCUUCUAGAGCCAGAAGGUUGAGGUCUGGUGGGUUCCUAGUGCCUGAUUUUCUCUUCCUUUGGCCCUUGAUGUCCCUGGAUUUUUCCUUGAACUAGUUCUUUGGCACCCAUCCAUCAACUUCUCUAUGUCUCUGUUCACCUUUACCCUUGAAUUUGAAAGAUGAAAGCACUUCCUCUUCAGGAAAGGCAUUUGUCGAGGUUGUUGUGGAAGGAAGUGCUCCUCCUCGUUCCCAUGGAUCUUCCAAAGGACUCUUCCGCCACCUAUCCAAAGCUCUAGAACUUCUUCCACUUUUCUUCCAGUGCCCUAAGCCUGAGAUCAUAGGGCAGCUUCCCUAGUACAUUCCUUGGAGCUAGAGUAGGGCACUCUAAUUUUGUAUAACCCAUAACACUUCAUGAGGCAAUAGAACAAAAGCUUCUCAAAUUAUAACUUAAACUAGUCCAGCUUUGAGGUUUUCUCAUAUUUCAACAUGACGCUGUGCCACCGCAGCUUGUCCAAGUCUACCAGCACAUAAGCACGAAGGAAUGGCCCACUUGCUUCCCCAUCACCAUUGAUGUCCAUCCUGACUACCUAUUUGAUGAGGCCAGCAGCUCUAGAGCUCCUACUUUCAUUCCUCUAGCCAAAAGGAGAUUGAGUAUGGCAUGUUUGCACACCAUACAUGGUGAGCCUUCCAGUGCCUUCUCAUCAUACGAAGAACCAAAGUCCGUUGUGAAGAGGUUUUCGGUUGUGUCCUCUAUUUAGUGAAAUUUUAGCCUGAAUAGGUUGCCACAUGUUAGCUUCAUCACGCUAUAGAUGGUAGUAAUGUGGAGGGUUGAUGGCGAGAGAACAUUGUCGAUCAUCGCCCACUUCACCAUGCAGCAUCAUCAUCUUCAUUAUCAUUGAAGGCAUCAACUUCUCCUUCAUCCAUGGACAGUUUUAGGCAAUCUUGGAGGUCUGCAACAUCCUCCCGGUCCCCAGAUGUCAUCGAGACAGAUGAACUACCAUCGAUUGUCUUCAUAGUAGCCACGUAGGGUGGAAGAAGAGGAGUAGCACCCAUCACAUAGACUGGCCAAGCACUAGAUCCCAACCAGGUCCUAAGUGGCACACUCUAGCCCUAGCGAGAAGACUAGGGUUCUGUGGAUGUCGGCAUGAAACAAGCUAACCGAAGGUAUGUGGGUGCCCACCGGUGGCUACAGUGCUAUGGGUGUGGCGUGUACAUCAAUGAUGGGGAGUCCAUAAUGGUGUCGAGAUCCCACCAGAGGAUGACUAGAGUCUAGAUCGGGAUUGGGCAAUUGGGUGGGGGGAUCAUGAUGCUAGGGAAGCUGUGAUCCAAAAAUCAUGGAGCGCCAUCUCGUAGACUAGGGUGCUCUAACCUCUCUAAAAUUGUAUGCCUAUUUGAUACCAGUUCUUCUAGCACAUUUAGUUUGUACUAGACUACUAGUGGACAGGCACGUGUGACACUCACAUCUGUAUAAAAAAUUCUUAUGCAAUGGAGAAAUUACAAAGUUGGAGGUUGCAAUAAACAUACACAUCAAUAAAUAUUAACCAUGUGAGACGAAGAUCUCUAAGUAACCUUGUCCUAUGACAACCAUGCUAGAUGUUGUGGGUUAGUGGUUGACACCAAGGCCUAAGAAAGUGGAGUUGGCUAGAUCUAGGCGAAAGUUCGUGAGGCAUGGUGGCAUCAGUGCAAAUUAAAACUCAGUGGCGAAACAUAUCAAGGUAAUCUAAUUCAUGUACUAUAAAAAUUCUAUGCGCAAUCAUUGAAUUGACACAAAACUAUGCCGCAUAUAAUGAUAUGAAGUGCUCCAUGUUUUCUUGCCUCUAUAAUUUGAUGGAUUUCUUAUAAUGGUACCCAUGUCUCCCUCUCCUUAUCUUAGUUUUAAAUCUGCUACUAUUUGUCCAUAGCACAUUCAUGAUUUCUGCAAUUGCAAAUAUUACAAUGGGUUCAACUUCCAACUGAGUUUCUCUUUGUUGAAAAUCAAAGUCUUUGCAAGACUAGAAAUAAUAUAUGAAUAAAAGACUGAGUGUGGCCAAAUGAAAUGAAGAGAUGGAAGAACAUCAAAGACUUCGCACACAUCCAUCCAACCUCCAUCCUCUAUAAAUGGGGGGGGGUGCUUUCAUCUGAUGUAUGCAUGGUCAAAAGAAAAGUGAAAUAAAGAAACAAGCUUCCUCUUCCUCCCAUCUCUCUAUGUGCCGAUCCGUGUAACACGCCAAAAUUUCUUCUUUUGAAUAGUUGAUUUGAUUUAAUUAAAAAAAAUUUUGUGAGCACUAGAAAUAUAAGCUUAGAAAUAUUGUUGAUGCAUUCAUGCUAUAGCAUUUAUUCUUGUGAUGUGUGAAUUUAUGCAAAAGAAGAUUUGAAUUCAAAUUCAUUUUGAAAAUGAGCUUAAAAAUUGGUUUGGAAAAUAAAAAGGAAAUCUUGUUUCCCUCCUUUUGGCCUACUGGCCCAUCUUUUCUCCUUCACGGCCCACUCCCUCUCCUUCUCCUCUUGGGCUAGCCAAACUCGCGCAGCAACUGCCAGCACGCCUCCUCGUUUUCCCCUUCUCUCUACCAUGCAGGACCCAGCCGUCACAUCCAUCCCCUCCCUCCAACUGCUCUCCUUCUCAUAUCGCAAUGCGCAGAUGGCAACCGCGCGCCCCUGCUCCCCGCUCCACCACGUUCUCCCCCCGCGCCUCGCCCUCUUUGGAUGCGCCCGAGCCAUGCCGUCCCUGCCCCGCUAUCAUUUUGCUUUCUCCCUACCUCGGUUCCCUCUGUCGCGCGUGCAGAAACCACCGACGGAGCUCCCUGAUCUGCCGUACGUCGUCCCGGCAAACCGAGCCACCUCUGACCCUACUCUUCGUGCUGGUGAGCUCGCCAUCCCCUCCUACCUCUUCCCAUCCAUCUUAUGGCUGUUUUCGUGGCUUCUAGUACCUUCACCGUGAGCUCUGGUGAGGUCCAUGGCCACCAGCCAUGGCUAAAGUCUCGCGAGCCUCUCCCCGACAACGCAAAGGGUCCAGGCGAGGUUGCCUUGCUCUCCUCUCUCUCCUAGUGCUUUCGCUUUGGAAAAUCAUGCCCGGUAGAGCCCGCGCGAACGACUCCGACGAGCUUCUUGUAUUCUGACCAUGGCGUCGCCACGGGGGCUCUGCUCCGGCCAGCCCCGCCACCCCUCCUCUCUCUAGGUCUCAUCUGGACCGUUGCUUUGAGAUCCAACGCUCCAAAUGAGCCUGUACCCGUUCGGCCUGGUAGGUUUUCUAAAGAGACCCUCUGUUUUCUUGAAUUACAACCCACAAUCCUUUGCGUAGUUUUAAAAUACAUUUCCUAUGUUCGAAAACGUAAACCGGCUCUGUUGAUUUCAAAAAUACAUUUUCAAUAAUUAUAGUUUUGCCACUAUGUUUGUUUUAUACAUAAAAUAUUCAUUUUAACUCUGAUUUGACCCAUUCAAAUUGCGUUAGAUUCAUUUUCGUGAGAUCUACAUGUUAGUAAUCUGGGUUCACCAGUUUGAAACUUUUUAAUUUCGUGACCCUAUUUAAUUAAUUUCUUUUCUAAAGAAAAAUUCUUAGAAAAUUCAUAUCUUCUCCGUUUUAGCUCUGAUUCGAUCCAUUCGAGUUGCGUUAGUUUCAUAAUUUCAUAAGUUUCGCGUUGGUAUCACUGUUGUCUAGGUUCACCACUGUUAGAUUUCCUAGAUAAAUACGAGUCCUUAGAUUGCUUUUGAUGUCCCAUUUAAGGCGUAGAUUUCAGGUCGUAACUCCGUUUUCUAUGCAUUUCUCAUUGAUGUGAUCGUAGCAGCGUGUAGAUGAUUUUGGAAAACUUUUAUUUAAAUUUAUUUACUGUUGGUGUACUGUUUUAAUUAUAACUUUGUUUUCUUUGUAUAUGGGUGGCCUCAAUUGCUUGUGUGUUGAUGAUUGGUGACCGAGUUUAGUCGGUGAGCAUUACUUCAGUGAUCAAGAUCAGAGCCUUGGAAAUAAGUAAGACCAGCAGGAUCAGUAGGAGCAAUUGGAUCAAGGUAAGUAUAGCAUUUGGGUUUUAAUUCUAUGACCAUGAUCUUGUGACUAGAUGAAUGUAAAGCAACAAGCAAUAAUAAUAACUUUUUAGCAACUUGAGAAUUUAUCCGUAAGUGAUAACCGGGAUUAAAGUGUAACCAUGAGGGCUAUAAUAGAUGUGGCUUUAGUUAAGUAUGAGUAACUUUUCUAGCUUGUUAGAGGUUACCUGCGUGGCGCAAAUGGGGGAUAGCCGACUGUGGAUUCCCUGCGUGGUAGAAUUACACGGACUGACUAAUGAAACCAAGCGGCCCUAACUUGUUAGACGAACCUUUGAAAGGCUUCAUAGUGAUCUCUGCCGACCUCUCUAGGAAGGGGGUUAAGAGGUUAGCUACCUCGGGCAAAAGGGUAAAUCAUGACUCAUGGGUAAAGAUGUACGACCUCUGUAGAGUGUUUAUUAAACAGAUAUACUAGCCGUGCUCACGGUCAAGAGCGGCCUUGGGGAUUCUUACAUUAAGGGUGAUGAAUCUUGUUGUGUUAAGAUACUUAUUGUUUAUUGUUUAAUGCUCUAUAUUAUUUAUGUCACAUUGAUCAUGAGAUUGUGGGAUCUAUACAAUCUAGUUUCUAUACUUGUAGAGUUCAUCUUGGACUCACUCUUGCUAUCUCCCCCACACCUCGGGAGAAGUAUUGGGCUUGUGAUCAACUAGUCAGUUGGAUCCUGUAGAGUGAAGUUAAUACCUGAAGUUUGGAGUUAUCUUCCAUGGUUUGCUGCCUAAGGUUGUUUCUGAUUUAUUAUGUACGUUAUAUAAUUUAUGCGUUGUCCUUUGAUAUUACCCCUUAUUUGUAGCUAUAUGUGAGAUUUGUCUUCUAAAACUCACAUAUGGUGCAUAUCUGAUUUUGUUCUUGAAAUCGGGUGUUACAAUCUGUCUCACAUUUUUUCUGCCCUAGCGCCGCCGCCGCCGCCAUCGCAGCUCCCAUCAUCCACCACCGCUGGUCCCACUCCCUUUCCCUCUGGUAUCUCGCCGGAGGUUGAAGGGAGUGGGGAUCCAUUGUUUCUAAUAAGUUUUUCUUUAGUAGAUCGAGUUUAGGGUUAGUGUCUCUCCAUGCCAAAUUUUUUGGUAUUGGAGUUUUAUCUUCUCCUUCUCCUCUUCGGUGACGGUGAAGGAGAAAGGUGGAAUCGGCUUCUCCAUGGCGGCUCUGUUGAAGAUAAGGAUGACAACUUCAGCGUCAGCAUCUUUAUCGACAUGACGACAUGGAGACUUUUGUUUCCGGACGGCAGCAUCAAGGCGGAGAUGAUGUCGCCGCCAUAGAAUAAUUUUCUCCAGUCUCUUCUCCAUUUUAUUUUGGUUAGAUCUAGCCACAAUGAAGGACCAGGGAGAAUAAUUUUUAGAUUAGUCAUCCUCACUCUUCGGUGGUAUAAUAAAGAAGAAGGAUGAUACCAAAAAGAAGAAGUUCCUCAAUUCCGCCUACUGGAAUGUUGGUCAUUGUUCGUUGGACAUUUGUUCUCAGGCCAUUUGCUGAGUGUUUGCCUAUGCGGUCAUCUAUACUGCAAACCAUCUAACAGGUUAGGUUUUAAGUUAUGCUUUACACAGUGUGAGUACUAUAUUAUAAUCCAAAGUGCAUGUAACGUGUUUGAUGUAAUCAGCUAUCAUAUAAUAUAAUUAUUCUUUCACCGAAAAAAAUUCUUAUGUAGUAGUGUAAUUGUGAGCAAUCCAGUGAACUUGAUUUCUAACAUGUUAUUAGCAUGAGUUUUACUGAGCUAAAAGGGUAAGAAGGUAGGAAAUCGAUUCAUUUGAUGUUCAAUCUUCUUGUUCAUGAACAAGGACACACAUGAGAACACAAGUACGAAUACCUCACCGCCAUCGUGAAGAUGUGUGUGCAAACCGAGCCAUUCCUGCCCAUAAGGUCAGCAGAUCGAGCCACUGCCAUCUAGAAGAUAAGUGAAUGUCCUGAUGUGACAUGGCACGACUACCGACAUAGAAGUGUGACCUCAACGUGUGGUCGCAGGCGCAUGGCCCCUCGGCGCGAUCACGGCCGUCCAGAUGCACAGCCUCAGGCAUGUGGCUACCAGCAUGGUUGUUGACGGUCCUUAAUGCUUACAUUUAACCAUCAACUAAUCAUGGAAAAGGAUCCAAAUGCAACCAACACCCAGACUUAGGGUUUUAUCUGACAGAAUUCCACGAGUUUUGGUGUUUGUCUAUUUCUGCAGGGGGUUAUCAGGAAAUACGGAGAAAAUGCCCACACGUCAGGUUUACAUAGAGAUAUUAACGUGCCGUGCAAUUUUCUAUCAUCUAGAAGACUCCAGAAUCCACGGGAACGAACGGGAAGCCGAGAGGGCUCAAGGACAGGGCGCCCACCCUACUCUCCUGGGCGCCCGCCCACUUCCAGAGUCCAAUCAGGACACGUUUCGCGGAUUAUGCUCCACCGACCUAAAGGAUCAAGGAUAACCGUUCAAUCAAUGUCGGUUUGAUCCAACGGCCCAGAUUCAUCUGAAAAGACUAUAUAAGCAAGGCCCCCUGGCCCCUAGAGAUCAUACCUCUUCUACAGAAUCAAAGUUAGGGUUUCAAUUCUUCAUCCAAGUAGAGAGGAUCCCUCUAGUUCAUCUAGUUCUAGUUCUAGUUCCUCUAGUUCUAGUUCUAGUUCAUUCUAGUUGUAAUCUAGAAAAUAGGGAGAGAGAAGAGGAGAGCGGAGGAGGAGCCGGAUCUAUCGGAUCUUCCUCAACAUUGUACUUUUGCAGCAACUGGUUCGUUCUUCAUCGUUCUACAGGUUCUUCAAUUCAUAAUUCCUGAGUUCUCUAAUUACUUUUAUUUACAUUCAAGUUAUUUAUUGGAUUCCCGCUUGCAUCAAGUGCUCUAGUCUUUAUAACGCUAGAGUAGUAAUUAAUAGAUUAGACGUGGUGUUUAGUCUUGCAAUUACCUGGAAUUGCACCCAAUCCUGCGGAUUGUUGUGGUAGCCCUAGGGUAGUGACAGCCCUAACGUUCGACGUAUUCCACCUCGUUCGGAUCAGUGUUUGUAGGACCGUAGUCAAAGCUUCCUAGCCCCCUUCUCAUCUCUUUCUGUGGUUAGUGUUCUGAUGUCCCAAAAUAAAUAAUCUUUGAAGUAAUUCUUGAUUCUUAGAUCAACUAGAGAACUCUCAGGAAACUUCCUCUCUUCCCACCAAAAAUAAUUAUAUAGUUAUCCUUGGGCGAUCUUGAAUCUUAAUUAGUACACUCACGUUCCCUGUGGAAAAUCGAUACUCUAGAAUACUCCCGGGUGAAAGCUACAUCGGUAUCCGUGCGCUUGCGGAUUUUUCUGUUUGCGUUUAAAAUACCCAACAAUGGUGCAGUUGUCCUGGUGCACGGCCCCCGACGUGCAGCUGCCGGUGUGACGUGGCUAGCCUAGCACAUUGCCCUAGUGUGGCCCACUGGCUUGGGCUGCCCUGGUGCGGGCCCUAGCAUGGCCGGUGGGGCGGCGUGCUCCGGCUCAGCUCACGACCCCCUUCCUAGUGUGGUCCCCUUGGCCUAGGUGUGGCUCAGCACGUAGCCUAGCGCAGCAAGCCCCUGGUGUGCACGCGCGUGGCCUCGGCACAGCUGGUGGCGCGAGCACAGACCCCGACACAGGCUAGGCCACCGACGUGUAGGGACACCGGUUUCUGGACGCCAUUACCUUUUUCUUCAUGUCUUCUGAAGAAGAGGUUAAGGAAGAGAGGAAAUGGGAAGGAAAAAUAGGGUUAGGGUUUUACCCUCCCUAUUUAUAUCAGCCAUGGGUAAAUCUGAGCCGUCCAUCAUAAUGGACGGCUUCGGAUGAUUGGCCCUAUCAGGCCACAUGAGGGAUAAAUUUGGCCCAUUUAGCCUAUUAAAAGUUGGGUUGCAUAUAUUAUUCAUUAUUUGCGCAAAAUAGUGGCCUGAAGUCCACUAUAAUACAUAAAUACAUGGCCCAAAGUCCAUGUGACAUGUGUGGCCUGAAGUCUACCAUAUUUCUUUAUUACUGUUAUUACUGCUAUUAUUUAUUUAAAACAAUUAUUUAUUGCAUUUAAAUUCUACGUAUUUAUUUUACUGCUAUUCUUAAUAUUUAAUUGCAAUGUAAUCCUAGAUUUUACAUUGGGAAAUUUAUAUAGUUGUGAAGACUAUAUUAAGACGUAAUCAUGAAGAUUAUGCACCGACAUCCACUAAUCCUUUACAUUAAUUGUGCACACAUGUGGGACAUUGCAAGAAGGGAUUUCGAGAUGCUCGCCGUAGACGGCAACAACUACUUUACUCAGGCGGCUGACAUCAAGAUUAGACUCGAUGGCAUGGGCCUCGAUCAUACUAUUGUCCAACCUAAAGCUGGCUAGGAUGACUGCACAAAGCAAGACAAGGCGACGACAUUGCACUACCUGCAAGACCACCUCCACCCUAACUUGAAGUGUGAGUACAUGAUAGAGAAAGAUCAACUAGUCUUAUGACAGACAAUUGUGCUCCCCAGAGCACAACAAGACUGGAUCAACCUACGCUUCCAAGAUUUCAAGUCUGUGGCUACAUACAACUCUUCUUUGCAUAGAAUUGUGACCAAACUAUGUCUAUGUGGCCAGAAGAUCACUGACAUUGAUAUGAUCAAGAAGACUCUGUCCACCUUCAAACAGUAUAGGAACUCAACGUACACCAAGUCUCUGAGUUGAGUGAAGUAUUGUCUGUUGCUGAGCAACAGAAUGAAGUUCUUAUGUUCCAUGGUUGUGCCUAAAGCAAGGGGCUGUGGAAACGGAAAGUGAAAGGGGAGAGAGGUGCCAUGUUCAAGGUCAAAGGAAAGAGAAAAUCCAAGGGAAGAUUUGAUCCUAAGAAGGAAAGAGGUGACCACAGUGGGGAAGAGCAAGACCGAUUGCUAUAGAUGCGGCACAAAGGGACAUUUGUCCCAUAAUUGCCUCACCCCCAAGCACCUUGUUGACCUUUACCAACAUAGUAAGAACAAAGGUAAAGGUCAACAUGAGUCCCACUUGACCACUAAGUCUGAAGCUCAGCCUAAGAAGCACGAUGACAUGACCGUCGGUGCAAGUGGAGGCGUCCGGAUGGACAAAAGUGAGGACAAUCUUCUUGAUGGCUUUGAUAUAUUUGGGGACCUAUAGUAAUCUCCAAAAUAUCAUGUUAGUUAUAUGCGAUGUCCACUGUACCAGUGUCAAUAAAGUUUGGCCAUGCAUGCUCCUAGAGAGCAUUUAUAACAGGGUAGAUGGUCUAACUAUUGUAAUAUUUCCUUGGAAUUAUGUAAUUUUGUCUUUAUGAUAAUGAAUGCUUUAUGUUAAGUUCCUAUCUUUGUUUUAUGGUAUUUAACAGAACCUAUGGGAAUCCCCAUGGCUGAAGAAGAAAUUUGUCUUGUAGACAGUGGCACCACCAAUACGAUACUGAGGGAAACCAGAUAUUUCCAAACAUUGACAAAGAAAAAUGGAAAUAUUAUGACCAUUGCCGGAUGGCAUGACCGCUUGGGUCAUCCUAGGUUGAGUAUGAUGAGAAGAAUCAUCAAAAAUUCUACUAGCCAUGAUGUCAAAUGCUUCCCUAAUCCUAAAGAUUUUAUUUUCACUGCAUGUGCAAAGGGGAAGCUAAUCACUAGACCAUCCCACCUCAAGAUUAGGGAUGAGUCACCUGUGUUCCUGCAAAGGAUACAAGUUGAUAUUUGUGGACCUAUUCAGCCCCUAUGAGGCCUAUUUAAGUAUUUUAUGGUAUUGAUUGAUGCAUAUACCAGAUGGAGCCAAGUGGACAUGUUGUCCACUAUAAACCAUGCUUUCCCCAAGCUCAUUGCCCAAAUAAUUAGGCUAAAAGCAAGUUUCCCUAAUAACUACAUUCAGUCCAUUCAGAUGGAUAAUGCUGGUGAGUUUAGAUCGAAAGCUUUUGAUGAUUACUGCUUAGCCAUGGGUAUUAAAGUAGAGCAUUCAGUACCACAUGUCCAUACACAAAAUAUGAGUCCUUGAUCAAAAGGAUCAAAUGGAUUGUCACACCAUUGUUGCAGAAUUGGAAGCUGACAACUAGUUGUUGGGGCCAUGCAGUGUUGCAUGAUGUAGCACUGAUCCAACUCAGAGAAGUUGUAUAUCAUAAUACAUCCCAAUUGCAGUUAGUGUGUGGGAAAGAACCAAGUAUUUCCUAUCUACAUAUAUUUGGUUGCGUUGUGUAUGUGUCAACACCACCACCUCAGCGUACCACAAUGGGAUCCACUGGAAGUUGGGGAUAUAUGUUGGUUAUGAGACUUUGUCCAUAAUCAAAUAUUUAGAGCCUAUCACUAGGGAUCUUCAUAUGGCUUGAUACGCUGAUUGUGUCUUUGAUGAAGACCAUUUCCUAGCAUUAGGGGGAGAUAGGCAUCUAGAAGAAUGCUGAGAAAUUGAAUGGAAUACAUCUGGAAUACAAUCCUUAGACCCACGCACCAGUGAAUCUGAACUGUAAGUUCAGAUAAUUAUACAUUUGUAAGGUCUUGCAAAUGAGCUUCCAGAUGCCUUCACUGAUCACAAAAGGAUGACAAGGUCGCAUAUACCCGCAAUAAAUGCACCGAAGAGAGUACACGUACCCCAUAAGGCAACCAACUCUACUGUCUCCCCUAAUCCUAGGAAAAGGGGGAGGCCUCCGGGUGCUUAGGACAAGGUCCUACGGAGAUGUCCACAGAGGCGACAACCUGAGCAACUUGCAUCACUCAAAGAAUCAGUUGAAGAAGCUUGACCUGAAGUCGAAAAUGCCCCUAAAGUGGCAACUCAACCUGAAGUUGAGGAGGUCCCUGAAGGACACCAUCCUGAAGAUGGAAAUCCCAAUGCGUCACACACGCACCAUCGCAUUGGAAGAUCAAAAUACUCCAACUCAGUCGUUAUGGGAAAUCAUGAAUGGGAAGACAAUCAUAAAGAGAUCGCUACUAAUUAUGUGGAAUCAGGAGAGUUAUAUUGUAGAAAGACCACUAUUAUCGACAUUUACUUCGCCUUAGAAAUUGCUGACUCAAUGGAUCCUGAUCUAGAACCAAUGUCCAUGAUAGAGUGCCGAAAGCGCUCAGACUGGGACAAAUGAAAAGCAGCAAUUCAGGCAGAAUUACAAUCGCUUUACAAAGAGAGGUUUCUGGGCCUUUAGUCCCAACGCCUCCAAAGGUCAUAAUCGUAGGAUGCAAAUGAGUCUUCCUCCAGAAGAGGACUGAACAUGGCCAGGUGGUAAUAUAAAAAGCAAGGCUAGUGGCAUAGGGUUUCAUGCAGAGACCCAACAUCGAUUAUGAUGAAACUUACUCUCCUGUUAUGAGUGGCAUAACAUUAUAAUAUCUUAUAUCUAUGGCAGCUAACUUGAAUUUAAAAAUGCAGUUGAUGGAUGUUGUGACCGCAUACAUGUAUGGGUUGUUGACGGUCCUUAAGUAUCAAAUUUAAUUAUCAAAUAAACAAAGAAAAGGAUCCAAAUGAAAUCAACAUCUAGACUUAGGGUUUUAUCUGACAGAAUUCCAUGAGUUUUGGUGUUUGUCUAUUUCUGCAGGGGGUUAUCAGGAAAUACGGAAGAAAGGCCCACAAGUCGGGAUUACAUAGAGAUAUCAACGUGCCGCGCAAUUAUCUUACAUCUAGAAGACUCCAGAAGCCACGGGAAGGAAGCAGAGGCCGAACGGGGCCAGGCACUGGGCGCCCGCCCCCCUUCUGAGUCCAAUCUGGACUGUCUUUCGGGAAAGAUCUCCACCGACCUAAAGGAUCAAGGAUAACCGUUCAAUCAAUGUUGGUUUGAUCCAACGGCCCAUAUUCACUUGAAGGGACUAUAAAACCAGACCCCCUGGCCCCUGGAGGAGAGAGCCUCUCAACCCUAAUUCAUUAUUCUCAAGGGACAAGAAGCCUCUGAUCAAGAUUAGAGCCACCACAUCAAUUAGACAUCUAGAUUAGCAUAGCUACAUAGGAUUAGAACUAGAAGGAGUCAAUCUUCGAUUGGUUUCUGGAUCUGUCAAGAGGAUUCUUGGUAAUUCUCUAAUUGUGCUUCUAAUUGCUUUCUAAUUAUCUUUGUUCUUCAAUAUUAUGAAUAUGACUUUGUUCUACUUCAAUAUAUUGCUUAUGACUUUGCUCUACUUGCUUAUAUUCGCAAUUAUAUUGUUCUUAGUUUAUCAUAGUUAUAUACUUGGCUUAGUUAGAUUGGAUCUAUAUACAUGCUUAGGAUCGUAUAGCGUUUAUCCAUCGGAUCCAUGGGUAAAUGAUAGAUAUUGUGUAGGCGUGGUGCUUAUACCGUAUUUAUCUGCGAUUGUACCCAAUAUGCCAGAUCGUGGGGUAGUUCGUGAUAGUGACAGCUUCAUUGAUUCUUAUAUAGUCCCCCUCUCGUGUAUUGGGCUGACAGAGCAACAUUAUUACAGGGGAGUGAUUGCUAUGUUUCUCAUUUACCUUUCUAAUAUCACUAUGCAUGGGCGUAGUCUUGUCUCGCAAUGAUUGCUAAGUAUGCUUGCACUAACUAUGAUAAUGCUAGACUAUAUAGUUGAGAAUAACUUAGGAAAUAUUCUUGUAGUUUGUUCUAAUUCCAUGCUAAUGACUUUCUAGAGUAUCUAAUUGAGGUGCUUAUCAUAUUUAUAUGUGGCUAAGUUAUGCUGAUCAGAUUAAUUAUCUUUGUCACCAUUCAUUACUUCAUAUAUCCUUUAUGUGACACUUACCCCUGUAUGAAAGAGUUAGAUAAAUGUUCUCAAUUAUAUAUGCAAUGAUAGAUACUCAAUCUCAUAUUCCAUUCUGUAAUCAAUAAUGAUGAUUGUUAAUCCCUUCCCAGUGGUAAAAAUAUAAAUAACGAUACCUGGAAUACUUCCCGGUUAAAAUGCUACAUCGGUAUUAAUCUGUGCGCUUGCAGAUCCCAUUCAUUAUUUAUUUAGAAGAGCAAUUGCAUAUUUCAAUACCGCGUCUUUCAUGUCAUGCUGGGGAUGACAACUUGGCUUAAGUGGUAUGAGGGAUAGGUUUGGGAUUUUUGGCACCGUUAUCAAAAUUAGAAAACUAAGUCUACUUUUGGUAAUGAUGUUAAGAAUACCCAACAAGCAUUUUUGGCGCCGUUGCCGGGGAAGGUUGAUUACUGAUCAAGAAUGAAUAAAGGAUUUUGAGUUAUCAUUCGCAUCACUAAUAUGAUUGAGCUUAUCAAUUCUCUCAUACAGUUUUACCCCGAUAUUUUUCUAUUUUUAUCUUAUGCAGGGGAAUGUAUGAAUAGAAGACAUCUUCCAGGAAAUUUUGUUGACAAUCCCGAAGCGUUAUUCAGAAAAACAAGAGCCAAGCUCAAGAAGAGAUCAUCAACACUUCAGCAAGAAGCUUCAUCCAAUCAAGAAGAUCAUCGGAACUUGUCUUCAGAGUUCGAAGCCAUGGCAAACAAAUCGAUUCGUGAGUUCUCAGCUCCCACUACGGACAACAUCCGCACUGGACCUGCUGCAGAGAUCGAUGGCAACUUUGAGCUCAAGCCUAGACUUAUCAACAUGGUGCAAUCCAACCAAUUCUGUGGGAAGGCACACGUAGAUGCUAGUGCUCAUCUCCAACACUUCCUGGAGAUAUGCAGUACAUUCACCAUAUCAGGAGUUUCCAGAGAUGCUAUACUACUUCGUCUCUUCCCAUUCUCACUGUUAGGAAGAGCGAAGCAGUGGUUCUACGCUACAAAGGAGAAGAAUACUACGUGGGCACUCUGCUCAACAAACUUUCUGGCUAAGUUCUUUCCCAUGGGCAAGACCAAUGCUCUCCGUGGGAAGAUUACAAGUUUUCAACAACAAAAUGAUGAAUCUGUUCCAGAAGCAUGGGAGCGCUUCCAAGACUACAUCCUAGAAUGUCCCCAUCAUGGAAUGGAGAGCUGGCUACUAAUGCAGACGUUUUAUCAUGGGCUCGGCAACAGUGCCUGAGAGACCAUGGAUGCUGCAGCUGGAGGAGCAUUCCUAUCACUUACCAUAUCACAAGCCACAGCUCUUGUGGAGAUGAUGGCGUCUAACCAAGGCUGGAAUGAAGAGAGGACCCAGACACGCAAGAAAGGUGGAGGUAUGCAUCAGCUCAAGGAGGUAGACAUGUUGUGUGCGAAGCUAGACCUGCUCAUGAAUAAGCUCGACAAUAGAGCCGGAGAUAAGAAAGAAGUUAUGCACAUCUACGACUCUCACAUGACUUGUAAGGAGUGUGGAGAUACUGGACACUCAGGCAAUCACUGCCCUGAGAUGCUUGAGGAUGUAAACUACAUCAUCAUCAACAACAACAACUACUACAACCGUCCUCAACAAAAUCCAGGUUGGAAUCAACAGAGGCCUAACUACUCAGGUAAUUAUCAAGGUAAUAAUUCUUACAACAAUAACAAUAAUUUUCCACCUCUGAGAGAGUUGUGUCCAAUCAAGGAAAGCUAAUGGAUAACCUAUCUAAGAAAUUGGCAUCUAAUGAUAAAAUGCUAGAAAAUAUAAAUAAUAGAAUGGAUAAUUUCUCUACUGCCAUCAAGAAUCAAAUUAGCUUUAAUAAAAUGAUUGAAUCUCAAUUAAAUCAAAUAGCUGCUGCUGUUCCUACUACUAACCCCGGUAUACCAUCACAACCGGAAGGAUUAGAAUCUGCAAAUCUUGUAGACAUGUUUGAUGCAGGUAAUAACUGGAGUAACCCCGUCACUGAAGUUACUACUGUCCUUCUGCCGGUCAAGAGAGGUCAUCCAGGACGCCCCGUCAUCCCGAUCUCCAUCGGCAUGGUGGACGUUCCAGAAGCACUCUGCGACUUUGGCUCCAGCGUCAACAUUAUAUCCAGGGUACUCUAUGAAAAAUUCUUUACAUAUCCUUUAUUAGAAACAACCAUGUGUUUGCAGUUUGCAUAUCAGACGAUAAGUUUUCCAAAAGGAAUAUUGAAGAACCUUUGUGUCUGAGUUGGUACCUUAUAUGCCCCAGCAGACUUCGUGGUGAUAGAGACCGGUAAUGAUGAGAGGGCACCCAUCAUCUUAGGGAGGCUAUUCUUGAACACCUCAGGAGCUGUCAUCUACGCUAGUGCUGCCAAGAUCAGUUUCUACAUCAAAGGGAGGAAGGAGACGUUUUCCUUCAAGAACAAGACUACACAAAUCCCAGAUCAAUCCAAAUGUGAAUCAAGGAAGAGGACCAACAGGAGGAACAGGAACAAGCAAGUGUGGACCGAGUCAGCUAAGAUGGUCACUGCAGUUCAUGGAGGUCAAGAUCAUCAACUUAAGUCACCGUUUUUGACCAAGAAGGAUGACCCAGGAAUGCCAAGCAUCUAUUGCUCCAUAAAUGGAUACAACUUCUACAAGACGACUUGCGACACUAGAUCGGGCGUCAACAUAAUGGCCGCAGUCACCUAUCGGCUCUUGUUCGGAACCAUGCCCCUAAAACCAACAUACAUUCAGCUCCAGAUGGCAGAUCAGACAUUUCGAGAAGUUAAAAGAACAAUAACUGAUGUCCCUGUCAAAAUAGACGAUCAUUUUGUCUACACGGACUUUCGGGUUAUUGACAUGGGAGAAGAUGAAUACGAUCCAUCCAUCAUCCUUGGAAGACCGUUCCUCAGCACCGUUAAAGCAAUCAUCUACAUUGGAACCAGAGAAGUCCAUAUGCACUUCCCCCCGGAGAAGGUACGCCGUUAUUUUACUGACCCUAACUACAUCUUUGAAGAAUCUAAGCAGGUCAGAAAACGACGCAACCGCAACCAGAGGAGGCAAAUCAUCAAGGACGGAUGGGCAGACUAUGAAGGAGAAGUUGUAAGGUCAGAAGACAUCCAGUUUAAACAGAAUUAUCCAGAGGAGACCGAAGCAUCGAGUCUGGUAUGGAAAGAGAAGAUAACUAUACAUAAAGAGGAGGCGCCGCCGGAAGUACCGACUCCGCCACCCAACGAAUCCCAGGACAAUUGAGAAAGAGAAGAGUCCUGUUCGGAGGACUUAAAAACACCGAACGCCUUGCCAAGAGGUAAACUUGGUAGUUAUCCUUUCCCUUUCAAUUAUUUCAAAUAGUUUACUUAGUUAAUUAAUUAUGUUCAUACUAUCCUAAAAAGAAAAUAAAAAUGAAAAACAGUAAGCCCCAUGUGAGUAUACGAGUGGCAUAAAACCUAUAAGUACAUUCACUGUGGUGGCAUAAAAAUAAAAUAAAAAUUUCUUUUCUGCUUUAUAAAAUGAAAAUAUAAAAAUAGAGAGUAAUAAUUAUUAAGGAGUCUCAAUAUGAUAAAGGCUAGAUAUUUAUGCUAACACUUAAUUAGUUCCACAAGCUUUGUUGUCUAUUUGAGCUCCACAGAAUUUAAGAAUCAAGAAGACUAGCUGACGGAGGACAUUCUAAUCGCUGUCAGAAUGCUGCUGACUUUCAAAUACACCUCUGCCACCUGCUAGCUACAUCAAGAGAAACUACGUCAAAAUUCAGCUUGAGGGAGAGCACCCCCCGAUAAGUAUUUCUAUCUAUCUUUAUACUUAUACUAUAUUAAAAUAUAGAUAUACAUAAUUAUGGAAAAACAAAUAAAGAUUUUGUGCUUAUAUAUAUGCCUUUUGCUUACUGUGUUUAAUAAAUAAAUAUAGUGGCUAUGCUAAUCUGAAUCUUAGUAAUAAACUCUAGCAUGGAUAUGAUGAAUAGUUGCUCUACUUAAUUUUUAAAAUUUGAAGUUCUCUCUCAAGUUUAGACACAACUGUUAUAACUUAAAGCUUGCUCUAGACCUAAACUUGUGGGAUGAAAACUUGAUCUGAAGUCUAAGUUGUUAACAGAUAUGAUAUGGGAAGGUUGAGUUGCUGUUUAUCUGUUCCUAGAGAUGCUAGAAUUCUAGAGAAUUUUAUCUUUGAAUAUCUUUAAAAUAUUACAUGAUGAGUUCCUGUAUGAUGAGAGUUUAAAUUCCUACCACAGCCAUAUAUACAUGCUUGCUAGACUUUGAGCCACACAUUUACUAUUUACUGCUUAUGAGCAUUGAGUGUGGUCAAGCUGUGUAGACCCUUAGGAGCUUGUCAUGUGGUUAAAUCAAGAUUCACUUGCACGUUCACUCACACAUGCUACUUCUAUUCCAGAAGUACCAUCCACAUAUAUCCAUCCAUUUCCAUCUCCAGAACCACCCAAAAAUAUUCUACUCCUAAUCCGGGAGAGAAUAGCCAAAAAAUAUCUCUGUUUUCCCUGUGAAAUAAAUGCUCAAGUUAUCUUGUUACUACCAGUUGCUAUAUUAUCUCAAGAGAUGAGUGCUCUGAAAAAAAAAGAAAGAAAAAACUAUACGAGGAAAUAAAAAGGGGCAAGUGCCCGAAACCUCGAAAGAAAAGAAAAAGUGAGACGAGAGGUAAAAAUGGACAAAUGUUCGAUAGUAGAAUUAGGGGUACAAGAUACCCACCUGAGAGGAAAGAAAAAGAAAAGAUAGAGCAUCUCAUUCUCCUCAUAAAGUUUCAAAAAGCAAGGAAGGUAUGUAUCCCCUCAAAAGAGCAAAAGUAGAAUUAGACUUUCACCAUUGUUAUCACCAUCAUCACCAUAUACCAUUCAUUCGCCACACAUGCACAUCUUGAUUUGACUUAUUGAUUUGUUUCUUUGGAUCCAUGAUUUGACUAUAUAAUAAAUGUCUUGUAAGUAUGUAUACUUUAUCUCCCACCUAUGAGCUCCAGAUAUUAAAGCCUUAUUAGAGUAGGGUGAGAGAGAAGGCAAUAAGAGAAGGCAUAUACCAUCAUUGCCUUGGUAAGGAUCUAGAAAUACCACAAAAGAGAGAUCUGAGAGAGUCAUACAAGGAAUCUCUGAGUUUUAUUUGAAAAUCUGUAAAAACUCCAGAGCUAUAGCUAAUCAAGAAUAAGAGACAUUGCACUUGACUAGACUGUUCUAUCUUUUAACUACUCAAGACAGAAGUGACAGUUACAAGUCCCAUGGUGAAAGGUAAAGUAAGUAAGUUUUAAGUCUUGACAGUUUACUCUAACUCAUAGAUAAGACCUUAUUUAGAAGCAUGUGUACCAUCAAUUUUUAAAGAUAUUGCAACAACUUCUAAUCCAUCGCUGAGAUUAUCCUUGCUCAGGGACGAGCAAGAGGUAAGCUUGGGGGAGUUUGUUGACGGUCCUUAAGUAUCAAAUAAACAAAGAAAAGGAUCCAAAUGAAAUCAACCUCUAGACUUAGGGUUUUAUCUGACAGAAUUCCACGAGUUUUGGUGUUUAUCUAUUUCUGCAGGCGGUUAUCAGGAAAUACGAAAGAAAGGCCCACACGUCGGGAUUACAUAGAGAUAUCAACGUGCCGCGCAAUUAUCUUACAUCUAGAAGACUCCAGAAGGCACGGGAAGGAAGCGGAGGCCGAACGGGGCCAGGCACUGGGCGCCCGCCCAGUUGACCUGGGCGCCCGCCCCCCUUCUGAGUCCAAUCAGGACUCUCUUUCAGGAAAGAUCUCCACCGACCUAAAGGAUCAAGGAUAACCGUUCAAUCAAUGUCGGUUUGAUCCAACGGCCCAUAUUCACUUAAAGGGACUAUAAAACCAGACCCCCUGGCCCCUGGAGGAGAGAGCCUCUCAACCCUAAUUCAUUAUUCUCAAGGGAAAAGAAGCCUCUGAUCAAGAUUAGAGCCACCACAUCAAUUAGACAUCUAGAUUAGCAUAGCUACAUAGGAUUAGAACUAGAAGGAGUCAAUCUUCGGUUGGUUUCCGGAUCUGUCAAGAGGAUUCUUGGUAAUUCUCUAAUUGUGCUUCUAAUUGCUUUCUAAUUAUCUUUGUUCUUCAAUAUUAUGAAUAUGACUUUGUUCUACUUCAAUAUAUUGCUUAUGACUUUGCUCUACUUGCUUAUAUUCGCAAUUAUAUUGUUCUUACUUUAUCAUAGUUAUAUACUUGACUUAGUUAGAUUGGAUCUAUAUACAUGCUUAGGAUCGUAUAGCGUUUAUCCAUCGGACAUUGAGAAAGUGAUGGCUUAUCUCAAGUCAGAGUUUGAAAUGAAAGACUUAGGCCAGACCAAGUUUUGUUUGGGUCUGCAGCUCGAACACCUCCCUGAAGGAGUGUUUGUUCACUAGUCCACCUAUACUAAGAGGGUACAUGAAAAGUUCAAUAUGAGCAAGUGCCACCUUUUUAAAAUCCCCAUGGUGAUCUGAUCCCUAGAAGCGGAUAAGGACCCUUUUAGAAGGGUGAUGAUGAGAAAGUAUUGGGACCCGAAGUUCCAUACUUGAGCGUCAUUGGAGCACUGAUGUACCUUGCGAACUGCAUUAGACCUGAUAUUGCAUUUGGAGUGAAUUUGUUAGCAAGGUACAAUGCUACCCCAACCAGAAGGCAUUGGGUUGGCGUUAAGACCAUCCUAAGGUACCUACAAGGUACCCAAGACUUUGGUCUACGGUUCCCGAAGAACCAAGCAUUAACCAUGGUGGGAUAUGUGGAUGCUGGCCACAUGUCUAACCCACAUAAUGCUAGAUCACAGACUGGUUUUGUCUUUCUCUGUGAUGGUGUAGCCAUUUCCUAGCGGUCUGUGAAGCAGACCCUAGUUGCCACAUCGACCAAACACUCAGACAUAAUUGCUCUAUACGAGGCUACACGAGAAUGUGUUUGGUUGCGAUGAAUGAUUAAUCACAUCCAGAAGUCAUGUGGUUUGAGCAUCGCCAAUACCUCUACCAUUAUCUAUGAAGAUAAUGCAGUUUGUGUUGCACAGAUGUACAUGGGUUAUGUCAAGAGCAAUCUCACAAAGCAUAUUCCUCCAAAUUUCUUUUAUCCCCAUGAGCUCUAGAAGAGCGAGGAGAUAAACAUCUUGCAAGCAAGGCCAUGUGAGAAUCUCGCAGAUCUUUUUACGAAAUCUCUACUCACCUCUAGCUUAUAUACCGUCCAUAAAAUUAGUAUGAGGCGACUUAGAGAGUUGCAGGGUUUAGGGGGAGACCAACCCCGAAGACAUAAUCCGUGGCCGUGGUCUUGAGAUCACGAGUCCACCCUGAAGACCGACCCAAACAUCAUCUAUUAUACUCUUUUUCCAUUGAUAAGUUUUUUUCAUUGGGUUUUCUCAUGCAAGGUUUUUAACGAGGCAACAGGUGCAACAUAAGCGAUGCAUGUGAUGUACUUUUUUUCUUCUACCCUUUUUUCCACUGGAUUUUUUGGGGAGUUUUUAAUGAGGCAUACACAUAGUAUAAAUUUGGUCAAGGGGGAGUGUUGAAAACCAAGUCUUUGCAAGACUAGAAAUAGUGUAUGAAUCAAAGACUUUGAGUAUGACCAAAUUAAAUGAAGAGAGGGAAGAACAUCAAAGAGUUCACACACAUCCAUCCAACCUCCAUCCUCUAUAAAUAGGGAGGUGCUUUCCUCUGAUAUAUGCAUGAUCAAAAGAAAAGUAAAAUAAAGAAACAAGCUCAUCAUCUCUGUAUCUCAAAUUCCUGUGUUAUGAGUGUAAUUGUGAGUAAUCCAGUAAACUUGAUUUCUAACACUCCUCAACUUUGUGCAGCAUCAACAACCAACCAUCAACGAUCUGUUCCAGGUUUCCUACAGCCUAUCAACCCAUUCCAAGCAUCAAACAGGGUCUUCCAUCUGAGCUCCUCCCCUGCACAGCGCCUUGCCUUGGCCUGCGCCUCCGUCUCGGCUUCGCAGUCUGCAUACCCACAACAAAGUUCAAACAGAUGGAACUUGUCUGUUUCUGAAGCUCAUUUGCACGAAACAAGUAAGAGACAGAUAUUUUGGUUCAUUUUACCAUUGGGGCUCCUGGAGGAUUGGUCCCGUUCCAGCUCCUGCUCCUCCCUUUCUAGUCUCUUGGCGAAGUUCUGGGCUGCUGCAAACACAUUCCGGGGCCGUUCCCAUCCACCGCCGAAUAUGCCAUGGCCUUCCUUGGGUUGCGGACGGGACAGGAAUUCCAGCACAGGCAGCUCAUGGCUCUCAACCCAGUGGAUGCAGUUCACGGGGCAGGACUCCACAGCCAGCUGCCCUUGCACAACAUAAUUCAAUUAAUCAGCAAAGCACUAGGUGAUUUCUAUGAUGUCGUUGUCGGAUCAGGAAACAACUAGGCGACCUGAAUCUGUUGGUCCAGGUCUCCAAACUGGAUCUCCACGUGUGCGCUGCCGAGAACGUCGUCCAUGGCGAAUGUCCUAGCAGCAUGAUGCACGCACUCCCGACAUCCUUUUGUGAUGCGCUACAGUAGUUAGUGUGUAUUCGUAGCCGAUUCAAUUCUACAAUAAAAAAAAAGAAGGUUGAUUCUGGGUAGGUACCUAUGCACUUGUUCUCAUCCACAAAGAGAGCUUGACUUCUCACAGGCCCAUUCCAAGAACUGUAUCCAUCCCCAGUGUAACCGACUCCUAACCCCACUCUACUCCUGCCCCUUCCACCAGCAUGCAUGGAAUUAUCUCGCAUCAAAACCUUGUAUGCCUCGUUCAGCAACAGCGUGUAGUCAUGACCCUGAGCAUUCAAAUCCCAAAAUCUUCUAUUUUAGAUUCAGAAGAUUAGCACGGAAUAGAACAAAAUUGAAAUUAGAAGCUGUCAAAAUAAAACUAGCAGCUGUUAUUUCUUGGGCACACCCGAACUAUGAAUGUAAGAAAAAGGGGUGAACGCAAGAAUAGGAGAGCAAAUGGUAGGAUGAGGAAGAGGGAAACGGAUGCACCUUGUAGCCGGCAAUGUCUGGAUGGUGUUUCUUCUGGAGUUUCCUGUAAGCCUCCUUGAUUUCCUGAGGUGUGGAAUGAACUGUGAUACCGAGCACCUGGUAGUAAUAAUCCCUGGUCCUUCCCCUUGCUGCGCUGCAGCACCUGAUCACACUUCUUGAUCUGUUAUGGUGUGGUCUUAUCAGUUCAUGGUGAACUGAUCCAUUUUUUGGUAGCAAAUGACAGUGAUCAGAUGCAGCAGAGGUGCCAAAGAACCCUACCAUUUCUGUAUGGACUGUGGUGAUUUCCUUCUGUCUUUGGUUUUUCCCAGCUAAUGGGGAUAGUUCUGUUCAGAUAUUUUCUGUAGAUAUUUCCAAAUAGCUGUCCUUUUCAUAGAGUAGAUAUUCGCAGGAACUUUCUCAAUUUCUGCACUUUUUAUCCAUUCCAUUAAAUCUUUCGACACAUGUAUAGAGCAUUAAAUACUUUAAAUGUGUGCAUUUAGUAUUUCAAAUAUGUGCCGGUAUAUUCGAUUAGACACCCAACAGUUUUCUUUUCGCAAAGUAAACAAGGCCACAACCGGGGAAGAUGCCCUUGGGCACUGAAGAAAUUGUACCAGGAUUCGAACAAGGACCGGCAGAACCAUUUAAGUGACAACUAAGUUUGGGGUUUUGGUACCGUAGCAUUUUCGUUUGUAUUUGACAAACAUUGUCCAAUCAUGAACUAACAAAACUCAAAAGAUUUAUCUCGCGAUUUACAGGUAAAAUGUGCAAUUAGUUUUUUUUCAUCUAUAUUUAGUACUUCAUGCAUGUGCCGCAGUAUUCGAUGUGAUGGGGAAUCUUGAAAUUUUUUUGGUUUUUGAUGUGAACUAAAUAAGGCCUAAAUACUCUCACCUCCUCUACGUGCUCGGUUGGCUGCUGCCACCGCCUCGGGCCAGCGACGGCACAGGCGUGGGCGUCUGGCACCCCCUCCGUCUAGGCGUGGACGUCUGCAGUACGCCCCUCCCACCAUCGCAAGCGAGUCUGACAGCGGCUCCUUGUGUGGCGGCGACCGACUCCUAGAGGCGGGCGGCACCUCCAGUCCAGACGUAGAUAACUGUCGAUGCGCACCUCCCAUUGACACGGGCAAGUCAGCGAACAGCUCCACGAGGUGUGGAGGCGGCUAGCACCACCUCGUCUAGGCACGGACGACUGCCAGUGCCCGCCUCCUACCAUCAUGGGCGAGUCCGAGAACGGUUCCACAAGGUGUGGAGGCGGCCAACACCGCCACCCCCGUUCAAACGAUUGCCGGUGCACACCUCCCACCGACGCGGGUGAGACCAAGAAUGGCUCCGUGAGGUAUGGAGGUGGUCGGCACCACCAUCGUCCAAGCGCGGAUAAUUGUGGGUGUGUGCCGCCCACCAACACGGGCAAGUCUGAGAACAACUUCGCGAGGUGUGGAGGUGGCUAGCACCAACACCCUAUCCAAGCAUGGACAAUUGUCGGUGCGCACCUCCCAUCAUUGCAGGCGAGGGUGAGUCUCACAACGGCUCCACACGGUGGGGUGGUGACCAACACCCCCUCCUCUGUCCAUGCGGUGCAUGCCUCCCAUCAUCGUGGGCGAGUCCGGAAACAACUCCACGAGGUGUGGCAAGGUACGGUUGCUCGUCGGUGCGUGCACCUCCAUUUGUCACGGAUGGGUCAGUAGGAGUACUGAUAAAGGUUCUAGGUGAAAGCUCGCCUCAGGUGAGUCGCUAGCGACAAUCAUCUCCUUCAAGGCAUCGCUACAAAAUCUCUUGCUACCGUUUCUCUAUAGUCGGCCCAUUUCAACCCCACUGUUGAAAGCCCUGCCAAGCUCCUAUGGCGUCACCUCUUGUUGCUUGGCUGAUGAUGAUUAUGUCGCAUCAUCAUCCACCUCCCGUGACUUGGUGUUGUAGUUUUCUUUUUCUCUAUUUGUUGUACUGGUGAAACAUAUGCCACAAUCUGGCCCUUAUGCUGGGGGUGCUGUUUUGGUUUACAUUCUUGUACUUCUAAUCAGGGCUUCGAUUAGCUCCUAAUUUAUGCUUUGUAUCCUGAACUUUUCUCCCGAUUUUAAUGAAAUCUAGGCGGGGAAUCUCUCCCCUCCAUACUUCCUUUUCAAAAUAAAAAAAAAACACGGACUAGCAAGAGAUCCCCGAGCACACUGCUCUAACUGGUAUAACUCUGGUAUACUCAUGAGAAGCUGGUUACACUUUUCAACAUCUUUAGAAAAUAUUUGCACAAGUAUGAAUGUAAACUUUUUUUUGCCCAAUAAGUCGGCAUGUUCAUUUUCAAAGACUGGUCACAAUGAAAUUGCAGGACCAAUGCUUGUUUCAGCAUAUAUACAUAUAUAAGAGUUUACACGUGUUGUACAUCUAGGCAUAAACUAUACAUGCCAUAACACCCAUAUGUCCCAACCAUACAAGCGUACAACAGUGCUUAUUGAGCUAGCUAAUACAUACAUGCUACAUCUGUGGUCUUGUCUGGACUACAUAGAUUUUUCCAUCCUUCACUACACCCUCGACGUCCUGAGGAGAACCAUAUAGCUCUUCAAUGGCAUGGCCAGCCCGUGCGAUGCUUGAGAGUAUUGAAUUUCGGAAUCCACGAUCUACUAUAAGAGGGUCAGUUGUGUAAUCAAGUACGACUUCAUCCUCCUCAUCCAUCGGUACACUGAAGAAACAGACAAUUUAUCUGUCAUUCCAAACCAAUAAGCACCUUAACAUACAUUCAAGAAUGGGAUUUCCCUAACCUAUCAUAUAAUCCUGCUCCGGCAUAACCUUCCAGAUCCUCGCCGUUGGAGUCAGAACGAAAGAUGAUCGAUCGCCUUAUGAAGAGACCAAUUGGCUUGCUCGGGUAACCAAGUAACUACAAAUGGGCAACAGAUUAGAUCUGGCAAACCAGGUAAACCAUAUCCUUAGUAGCAAAUUUGCAAUCUGGUUGGGGGACCUACUGACCAUGAAAAUUUCCCCGAUUAAUUUACAUGUUUUUACCAGUUUACCUAUGUAUAAAGUAUGUUCAUAUGCAGUCUACUUUAUAAGUAAGAAAAUUUUUGAUAAGUGAUAAAUUACCCGCAGGCGGGGCAGAGAAAGACCAGCACACAAUAUAAUAAAUUCAUCAACUUCCCAACUGAAGCGGAUUGCAUGAUAUUAGCCUACCAUAAGACAAUUUCCAAGAACUAACCUUGGGAGAGUCAAGGUCAUCUUUUUUGCAAACAAAGCUCAUAGCACGACCAGGAUAGGCUCCCACGAGAGUCUCUCCGAGCCCUUUCACGACUUCAGCAUAUAUCUCAGAAGAAUCUCCAGACGAUGGGUUUGUAGUAUGAAUGACAAAAGCAUAAUCUGCAUUCACAACUUCUUGCACAAGAACAGCCAUCGAAAGGUACUCAUGAUUGAGUUUCACCUUGCGUGUGCUAAAAUAUGCUCUUUCAUUCCAUUUUGAUGCCC
rnacentral:lncRNA from 1 species